UGGUUUGUGUUGAGCUCUUUAGAAUCUUAGAUAUCUCUUCUACCUGCCAUUUUACUUAAAUAUGUUCGACCACAUAUUUAUCAGUUAACUACUGUCAUUACAUGAGUGACACAUAUUCACAAAUCGGCUGAUCACUUAUUUUCCAUUAUGACGUUGAUAUAUAAUUUGCAGACUCCACAAAUGAAGAAAAGAGCACAAAUGACGUUGGCAAACCUGAAACUUUCCCAUUGGGCAAUCAAAAUUACUCCAGUCAAAAAAAUUAUGGAACAGGCAAUAAACGUUACUGCAGUCAAAAAAGGUAUGGAAGAGGCAAGAAACGUUACUGCGAUCAAAAAAAGUAUGGAAGAGGUGCUUCUCCAUCUGACAAUCAACUACUCCAUUAUAAAGACUUAGCUAUUUUCUUCUUGGAGAAGGACAUGCGCCCUGGCACAACAAUGAAGUUCCAAUUCUCUAGAAAUUCAAACACGGCUACUUUCUUGCCACGAGAAAGCGCUCAAUCGAUCCCCUUCUCCUCUAACAAACUACCAGAAAUUUUCAACCAUUUUUCAGUGAAGCCAACAUCUGAGGAAGCCAAAACAAUUAAGCAAACAAUCGAAGAGUGUGAAGCUCCCGGCCUUAAGGGAGAGGAAAUAUAUUGCGCCACAUCUUUAGAAUCAAUGGUUGAUUUUAGCACUUCGAAGCUUGGAACAAGAAACGUUGAAGCAAUCUCGACGGAGGUAUUGGAAAAAGGAGCCACCAUGUCCAUGCACAACUAUACAACAAUGCCGGGACUGAAGAAGUUGGCCAGUGACAAAGUCGUUGUGUGUCAUAAGCAGAACUAUCCCUAUGCUGUGUUUUUCUGCCAUGCAAUAAAACAUACAGCAGCUUAUGUUCUCUUCCUGAAAGGCGAUGAUGGGGAGAAGGUUAAAGCAGUAACCAUCUGUCAUCUAGACACAUCAGAAUGGAACCCAGAGCAUAUGUCCUUCCAAAUCGUCAACGUUAAGCCCGGAACCAUUCCCAUCUGCCAUUUCAUUUCCACUGAUGCUAUUGCCUGGGUUCCGAACCACAAAUCUGCAUGAUCAUCACUUAGCACUGUACGUAUAAUUAUCUCCUUACUUAUUUCUGCCUCUUCAUCAUGUGGUGUAAGAUAUAUGAUGAGAUGAAGUUUUUGGGAUUAGUGGUUGGGUUGCCUGAAAAACACAGAUUACAGAAACUGCUUGAAAUUAACCCGAUCAUGUUUUCUCUUGUAACUAUAUAGACUUCAACUUGUACUCAUAAUAAAGCAUGCUAUAUUUAUGAAGAGAUAUUAAUCUAUAUAUAUUUUUUAUAUAUGCUUUGGCUUUGUGGUUCUACCCAAUGUUUGAGUGUUGAAUUGUUACGUUGGAAUAGGCUGCUAAUGCAUGUAGUUAGAGAAGCCUUCAUUUAUAUCAAAGUCCUCAAACUAUCAAGAACUAAUGUAUCCAGAAACAUAUACCAAGACGCAAAACAACAUAUUUUCCAUGCUCUGUCUGUAACACCAAAGCAAACUUCCUUGAUCACAAAAGGAUCAAAUUCCAGUACUAAUCUAAUCCAUCAUGUAAAGCAUACAAGUGCCUCCCUAAAUACUAUACUCUUUUUGUUAUUUCCUACUAUACUAUUUAAGAUUUAAAAUUCAGGUCAACCCAUAGAUUUCUCGCCUUUUUCUUCUUCAUCUCGUCGGGCUUGUCUUCUUCUUGAGGAUUGUAUAGGCCAAGGAAAUGCUUUGAGUUAGUUUUUGCGCUUUUGCGUUUUGGGCCUUGGAAGUUGGGACCCAAACCAACUUCACAAAAAGAAAACGCUCAGACUAUAAUGAGUGGAAAGUUAUAAGGGGUAAGUUAUAAGGAGUUCACUUUAUAGCCAUCAGAUCAAUCUAAGGGCUGGGGAGAAUUGAGAUAAAGUUUUAAAAUCGGGUAGGUGAGGAACCCAAACCCGAAUUGAAUAUCCAGCACGUCCGAAAAAGAAGAAGAAGAGGCAAGCACGUCCGAAAAAGAAGAAGAAGAGGCAAGGUCGAAGUUUGAACAGAAAAAACUCAUCUCUUUAAAACCCAUAGCUCUGAGAAACGGUUGAAGGCAACGGUUAACGACGGUUGUUGAAGCCACUCCGUUCUCCAGACCCUGAAAAAGUAUUUAUUUUGAGUAGAAGGGGCAAAUGUGUGGAUUCCGAAACAGUGAAGGGGCGAAGCAGUGGAAGGGGAAGGAGAGAAGCCGUAUUCGUUGGAAGUGGUAGGUUCCAUUUGUGGAGCAAAGCAACACAAAGACCCCGCACAGACACCUUGCGAUUGUUCAAUAACCAGCAUUUGGUGAGUAAUUUAUGGAAUUUGAGUUUAGGGUUAGAGUAAUGGUUUUCCCCAAUUUGUACCAUCAAUUUUGUUGGAUUUGGCAUCUCUUCUUUGUGCUUCAGUUGCAUGUUAAUUUUUGCUUGGGUAUAUGUUAAAAAAAGAAUGAAAAUCAAGUCAAUAACAAGUGAAUAACAUGUCAAUAAUGAUAUGAAUAAGAUAAUGGUGUUGAAUUGGAGGAGGCCCUCAAAACAUUCCACAUUUGAAGCAGUGCAUAGUGCAGAUUAUCUCUCUGGCGCUAGAAUAUAUAUAUAUUUUGAAAUAAAUAUGAUUUCCUUUGUUACUAAAUUUGCCUGAGAAACAUGAGAACAGAUAAUAAUAAACUCAUGAAUAGAAGUGCAAAGCAUUUGAUGAGUAAUUUAUGGAAUUUGAGUUUAGGCCCAGGAAAUUCCUUGACCCCAAAAAAAAAAAAAAAGUUGAUUUAAAAUUCAGGUCAACCCAUAGAUUUCUCGCCUUUUUCUUCUUCAUCUCGUCGGGCUUGUCUUCUUCUUGAGGAUUGUAUAGGCCCAGGAAAUGCUUUGAGUUAAUUUUUGCAUUUUUGCGUUUUGGGCCUUGGAAGUUGGGACCCAACCCAACUUCACAAAAAGAAAACAGAUUUGCCAAAAAUCAAAUUUCAAGUCUCUCCUCCGAUCGAAAUUUGGAUUUGAUGAACUAAAGUGGUUUUACUUUCUCCAUCAGUGUUUGAUAACUUAAUUUGUUAUUUACUUUUUUUUUAAAAAACUUUGGCUUAUAUAUAUUAGUUUUCUUUUUUCCUUCAUAUUCACCACCUUUAUGUUGCAUAAGUAUUUCAGUCUUAAUGGGUUUCCAUCUACCACUCAUCUUUGCUCUUCUCAGUGUAAGCCUUUUUUUUUUUUUAAAGCACAAGAUUAGAGGGGAGGGGGAUUUCUCAAUGUAAGCUUUGCAGUUUCAUAAUUAAUAUUUCCAAUAUCUCACUGUUAGUAAAAUACAGAAAAAGUACUAAUAACAUAUGCACAUGUUACUAAUUUAUUGAGAUAAAACACCAUUUUGCCCCUAGAAUAUUUUAUUAGGUUUAAAGUUGACUUUUUGACCAGGAAGGAAUUUGGGUAUUUAGACUAUAUCGUUGCGUAGAGCAUGGCGAGAUGAGUCCGUAGACACAUGAUUGGCUCGAAUCAGAGUUAUAAUGAGAGAGAUACGAUCAAAAUACCCUCAGUGGUAUAACCGUAAUUUUGGCUUAAAGGGUUUGAUAAAAUAUAAUUUUUCUUUCUUUCUUUCUCUCUCUCUCUCUCUCUCUCUCUCUCUCCUCUCUCUCACGACGGCAGUGAUAGCCGGCCACUUUUUGGCCAGCCAUGCUCUCGUCCGGCCACUAAAGUUGACGGGGCCGGUACCAAAAUGACCGGGCCACCAUCCUUUUCCAACCCCAGCCAGGCCCCACUGCCAGCAGUCGUGAUUUUGCUGAAAAAUGGAGAAGAAGCGGCCGAUUUCGUUCGAACUUCUCCGACUUCGUUCUCUCUCCUCCGGCCACCGAUUUCGAUGAAUGAGGUAUGGUUUCUCACCUACUUUUUAUGCUCUAGCUGCCUGUUGGGUAGGAUUCGAUCAAUUCCUUGCGUAGGUAGCUUGAUUUUCGAAUUGGAUUUCGGCCGGUUUUGGGAUCUCGAUUCCGGCCACUUCCGGUCAGUUUUUGGGGUACAUCCCAAAACAAAAGUGGUUCUAAAUAGGGUGUUAUACCUAGGGUAGGAACCUUGAACCGUAAUUUUGAGAAUUUUCGGUGAUGCCUAAUCGCUUUGGACACCUACGCUAUGCCUGCGUGUGGGCACUAUAGAAAAAGGGCAUUGUGUCCCGAUGCAAUCCCCUUGUUGUCUUGAGCGCGUAGGUGUGCUCGGAUUUCAAUUUGGAUACCGUUUGAAUCUCGAACGAAUAUCGCAUAUUGUGCGUUAUUCGGGGUCGAUAGGUUUGAACUGUUGGAUAGUCUUAGAUUUAUAAUAUGUUAAUCUAGACAUUCUUAGGAUCGAAUGGGAUUAAACGGAUCGUAAAACGGAGUCCCGGAUACUCCAAAAAUGCCAACCCUAGGGCUAGGUUCCUAGUAACCGUCCGAUCGUGCGAUCGUGAGCGAUCCGACCGUUUGAUCCGAACCAAACUUGCAGGACGUGUAUCCUAAACCUUGUAGAACCCAUAGGAACUUUCGGAUUAGAAUUUGGAGGUCGUGGGCCCCUUGGGCCGUUUGACUAAGUUUGGGUAGUUUGACCCUUGGCUGAUCGUGAGUCUUCAGAGGUCUUGAGCGUUGUUGAGCUAUGUUGACUAGGUUUAGACUUUUAGAGUGUUUAUUAUUAUCAUAGGAAACUAUUAGAUAUUAUUUUAAUAAUUGAAAUUAUCAAAUUUAUGUUUAUGUGCAUGAUUGUUGGUCUAAAAAUAACAUUGUUUUCUUGAUAAAAUUACGUUGCAGUCUACUAUAGACUGGUAUCACUAAAUGGAGAUUACCUCUAUUAUUAGUUUAGAUAAUUAAGAGUAUGUCAGUUUGAAGUGCUAUAUGCACUACCCUAAGUACCACCCUGUGAUUGUUAGGUCCCAUGUGGUGUAGAUUAUACAGCGUCAGGACAGACCCCAUACGUGGCUUUGGAUGUUCUGGCGCAUGGGGGAGAUUAUGUAAUGGUUAGGUCAUACGUGGCGUAGGUUAUUCAGCGUGUUGACAGACCCUAUACGUGGCGUUGGAUGUUCCAGUAUGGAAAGAUUUUGUGAUUGUUAGGUCCCACGUGGCGUAGAUUAUCCGGCGUGAGGACAAACCCCAUUCGUGGCUUUGGAUGUUCCUGCGUAUGGGGGAGAUUAUGUGAUGGUUAGGUCACACGUGGCGUAGGUUAUUCGGCGUGUUGGCUAACCCCAUAAGUGCCGUUGGAUGUAACGACCGGUCCUAAAUAAAUUAGUGAAUAUUAAUUUAUUCAGAGAAAAUACCAUUUUGCCCAUAGAGUAUUUUAUUAGGUUCAAAGUUGACUUUUUGAUCAGAAAGGAAUUUGAGAAUUUCGAUUAUACCGUUGCAUAGAGCACGGCGAGAUGAGUCCGUAGACACGUGGUAUGCUCGAAUCGAAGUUGUAACGAGAGAGAUACGAUCAAAAUACCCUCAGUGGCAUAACCGUAAUUUUGGCAAAAAGGGUCGAUAAAAUCAUAUAUAUAUAUUUUCUCUCUCUCUCUCUCUCUCUCUCUCUCUCUCUCUGCGAUAUUGUCCCUCUCUCUCUUUGAUUCACUGCCAUCUGCCCACGGCAGGACUUGAGACUGGUCACGUUUGAACCGGCUCGAUGUCCCGAUCACGUCGCACCCAAAAUGCAAAUGGAAACCUUGAAUUCCAGCCACGGCUUCGACUGGUUUGAACUGGGUUUUUCCCGGCGUUGCGCCACCGCCUCCGCCGCCCAAUUCCGGUGAAACAGGUAUAAUUCCUCACCUAUUUUUCGAGAUCCAGCUGUUGUUGUGUAGGAAUUAGACGAUUUUCAUGUUUAGGAACUCGAUUUAGAAUUUAGGUUUUGGUCGAAUUUUCAAAGUGAAAUUUCGGCCACUUCCGCUGGUUUUUCGGGGUAUGUCUAAGAACAAAAGUGGUUCCAAAUAGGGUGUUAUACCUAGGGUAGGAACCUUGAGCUGUGAUUUUGAGAAUUUCCGGCGAUGCGUAUUCGCUUUGGACACCCACGCGCCGACAGCGCGUGGGCACUGUAGAAAAGGGGCAUUGUGUCUCAAUGCGAUCUGCUUGUUGUCUUGAGCUCGUAGGUAUGCUCGAAUUUCAAUUUGGAUACUGUUUGAGUCUCGAACGGAUAUCGCAUAGUGUACGUUAUCCGGGUUUGAUAGGUUUGAACCAUUGGAUAGUUUUGAAUUUGAUAUAUGUUAAUCUAGGCAUUUCUAGGAUCAUGUAGGAAUUCAGGGAUCAUGAAUCAGAGCCCCGGAUGUUCCGAUUUAAUAACUUAAAGUUUAUGUUUAUAAUAACUAUCAGAUCGUGCGAUCGUGAGCGAUCCGACUGUCUGAUCUGGACCAAACUUGCAGCACGUAUAUCCUAAACCUUGUGGAACAUAAAAAAAUUUCGGAUUAGAAUUUGGAGGUCGUGGGCCCCGUGGGCCCAUUUAACCAAUUAUGGGUAGUUUGAUCCUUGGUUGACCGUGAGUCUUCCGAGAUAGUUUUACCUUCCUAGGAGGAUUAUAAUGACCCUAGUGAUAGGUCUUGACCGUUGUUCAGCUAUGUUGACUAGGUUGAGACUUCUAGAGUGUUUAUUAUAUUAUUGUAGGAAACUCUUAGAUAUUAUUUUAAUAAUUGAAAUUAUGAAAUUUAUGUUUAUGUGCAUGAUCGUUGGUCUAAAAAUAAUAUUAUUUUCCUGAUAAAAUUACGUUGCAGUCUACUAUAGACUAGUAUCACUAAAGUGGGAAUACCUCUAUUAUUAGUUGAGAUAAUUGGGAGUAUGUCAGUUUGAAAUGUUAUACCCUAAGUACUACUCUAUGAUUGUCAGGUCACCCGUGGCGUAGGAUUUUCCGGUGAGAUGACAGACCCCAUACGUGGCGUUGGAAUUUCCAACGUAUGGAGAGAUUAUAUGAUUGUUAGGUUUCACGUGGCGUAGGAUUUUUCAGCGGGAUGACAAACCCCAUACGUGGCAUUGGAAGUUUCAGCGUAUGGGGAGAUGAUAUGAUUGUUAAGUCACACGUGGCGUAGGUUAUUUGGAGUGCUGACAGACCCCAUACGUGGCGUUGAAAUUUCUGGCGUAUGGAGAGAUGAUAUGAUUGUUAGGUCACUUUGGAUGUUCUAGCGUAUUGGGAGAUUAUGUGAUUACCAGUGAGAUGAAUAAAGGAUUGUUAUGUUAUAUUGGGAAAAACAUGUUUGUAGAAAGAAUUACGUGUGGCUUGAUCCCUCAGUAAGGGUACGUAGGCAGCCUAGGGUAGUGCCUUGGUGCAGUCGCUGACUAAACAUUAUAAUGUUGUUUUUAGGUUUGAUUAUAUGGUAUUAUGGGGCAAGGCCCCUAGGACUAUUGGUGAUAAUUCAUAGAUGGUAGUGGAUGCAUGCUAGAAAUUUGUAGGAAGUUAUUUCAUGUGGAUUGCAGUGGUACUCGUAAAAUUUAUUUGAGUUCCUUAAUUGCAUUGUUAAUAUAUUAAUUUACUUAAGAGUACUGCUAGUAGUUCUGCCUUGAUUUAUUUGAAGGCUGGAGGCCUUGUCUGGAAACUGUGUGCAAUUAGAUUGUGUGUGCUGGCAGUUGACUUUUUAAAUUGUGAAUUUUGUGCAGGUUGAAAUUUGGGAAAUGUUCAAUUUACAGGGGAGACUCUGCUGAAAUUUCGGUAGAAAGUCUUGUGCCCUUAUUCCUUUUUGGGGAAAAGGAUAUAGUUUUAGAAGUGGCGAUGUCGGGAAUUUCCACAGGAUUCGUCUCGGGUUUCGGGAAAUUCGGGGCGGGUCUGAAAAAGUUGUUUCAGUUUUGGCAAGUAUCGGAAAAGACCAAAAUUUUCCGACUUUAUUAUUACUAGAAACAAGGUCGAAGUAUUUACCAAUCAUGUGGCCUUCCAAGUGCUCUAGGUUAAGCCAGGAACCGUUCCUAUCUGCCGUUUCCUUCCCAACUAUGAUCAUGUUGUCUGGGUUCCAACCCACAAAUCUACAUUGGGCUACGUAUUUGAAUUUGUACUAAAGCGUGAUCUAUAGUAUGCAUAUAUUGGAUAAGUUUGAGAUCAGUGGCUUGGGUGUCCGCUGAGCUUGAACAAGUUUGGGUGUGCUGAGUGUUUCCAUGGGUGUGUUGAUGAUCAUGGUUAUUAGAUUUGUGAUAGUUUGGGCUCAAUUUCAACAGAACUCAUCUCAAGCCUAGAUAGUUGAUUCUUAAGUUUAUCAGGAAAAAAAAUUAAAAAUUAAAAAAUCUAAAGUUAAGCCCAAGGCGCCGAACUUGGACUUCUCACCAAACUGUGCAUAAAUUGAAAUAUUUAAUAGAAGCCCAAGAUUUUUGAAGCACAUAAUAUCUACAAAAAUCUACAAAGUGUAAUACUUUACAAACUUCUUAUGUGUACCAAUUUCUGCUCAAAUUAAUUUCUCUGUGGUGCUGAGAUUCAUCAUAAUUUUAGUAGAAAUUGGAAGUUUUCAUCAUUUUUGCUUUAAGUCUCUCCUCCACUCACUAAUAAAGAUUACUCAAGUGAGUUUACAAAACAUUUUUUUUCUACUCUCUCCUGAAGACUACACAUCUUCUCAAAAGAUUAGAUCACUUCACAUCUUGUAUAUGUGAAAACUAAUGCAAAAAGUUGAAACUUUAUCAUAAAACCUCGACAAAAAUUAGCUCUACUUAGAACAUUAAAUUUGGAUUCGUUGAUUUAAAUGGCAAUUUGACACUUCAUAGAAAUUUUUACAUACAUGUGUUAGUGUUUGAUCACUUCACUUAUUACUUACUAUAUUUAUUCCAUGAUUCUCCCUCAAGUUAUGUAAAUAUUAUUAUCAAACAUUUCAAUUCAUUUGUGAUAUUUCUUGUCCAUCUUUCAAUGUACCCUGAAAUCCAUUAGCCACAUAUGAUGACCAAAAUCCACACUCUGUUGUUUGCAAACGUUCAAUAUACGACUUGCAUCCACAGUCCUGACCCAAAUGAAAUGCGGAAACUGUCAAGCUAACUGUAGGGAGGACUAUAUUUGAUUUUACCUUAAAGACUGAUCCGAAACCACCUUCUCCAAGUUUAUUGUUGUUUGAAUAGUUUUUGGUUGCACAAACAACAGCGGCCAAGUCAAAUAAUGGCAAUUCCAGAUCUUCCUUUUGGCCGGGCUUCAGUUCUCCUGUGAAGUACGUAGUGAAGUAAAUAAUGUAGCAUGGAACCUUAGCUUAGAAACCAGAGAGGCAACAGCAAAAAUUUUCUAUAGAACUGAACCUACCUAUCUUAGAAAAUGAAGGGGCAGAAGAGUAGAAAAUCAAAUAGCUUACCAUAUUUUUGUUGCUGGUUCUUCCUCACAUAUAAUAGCAGGGUAAGGCCCAGGGUCAGCAGUCCAGUAGACAACACAGUACUGGUUACUAUGAUCUUUGUAUUGUGUCCUUGAUCUAGGAAUGAAGUAUUUGAAAGCAGAAGAUUGAGGAGUCAGAAAUUCAUAAAGAAAAAAUCUCUACUUUUUAUCAUCCAACGAACAAUUAAUGCUAGUUUCUGAGACAGUUCUAAAGAAAUAUUUUUCUAACAAUGUCAAAAGUUUUCUGGCUCUAUCUUGUUUCUAAUCAUGUCACUGUUGGAAGAUUUCUUUCUUCUUUUUUCCUUGGUGGCUUUUAUUUUUCUUUCAAACUUUGUUUUAAACAGCAAGAUGAUUCCAUACCUAGUUCUGACGAAGCCAUUCUUAUGUAAAUAUCUUGCCCAUUUAUAUUGGAAUAUCUUAUAUCAACCAGAUCGCUGAACCACAGCAAGGACCCCCUUCCUCCAUCUCGGAUAUCCAAAUUUGAAAAAGCGGCGCAGGAGCAGUUGUUCAUGCACAUCAUCUCACAUUCCUUGAGGUUCAUAAUUGUGUUAUACUAGGAUUGUUCUGUACUUUAUUUCACCCCAGUGUACUUCUUAAAGAUGUCUCCACUGCAAUUCAGUUGGCUCUUUCUCACAGAUCUAUAUGACCAAUCCACCAAGUCCCAGUCUUGUUGAAAGUCGGUAUAAAUCCUUUCAAGCAGCUACGUACUGGGGACUUGUCAAUACAACAUGCACCAUUCGGACCACAUAUUCCAUAUUUGUCGCAGAUAUCAGUCGUUGCUCUUAGAUAAACAACCCAACCUUGGUUUCCAUCACUCCCGAUGUAGCUCAGCCCAAAUCCAUCUUGAGUUAACGCCAGCCUGAAAAGAGUUGAGCUGUUGAGAAGCUUAUAACCAUAAUAUACUUCAUCAUCAUUAUCCAACACAAAAUCAUAUGUUGGAUUUAAAUUAUGCAUCCCACUAAAUUGGAUUCCAUUCCAUGGUGCAGUCCGAUAUUUUAUAACAGAACCCUCCCUCAGAAUUAAUUCAUGGUACCCAUAAGGACCAAGUUGAUAUGGGUAAUGUCCUUGAGAAGGAUCCUGGGGGCUUUUCCAGGGUGUAAGAUGCCAAUUAAAACCUGUGAUUUUGUUCCUAACAAGCUUCAUACCUGGUAUUAAUGUAUCUCCUGGGUAAUCAAAACUCUGCCAUAAAAUAUUAUCAGAGUCAUUACGACCAUUGCCAUCUAUCACAACAAGAUUUCCGGAAUCCAAAAUCUGUGCCACUGGAUUCUAUGAAGAACUUGAUGUGUUGGAAGACCUGUAGUGUUCUUUGUUGAAUAUUUGGAUUGCAAAGGGAGCAAGAAAUGUACUGAGAGAGAAAGAGAGAGAGAGAGAGAGAGAGAGAGAGAGAGAGAGAGCAGUGAGCCUUAGAUUGUUCUAACAGUUUUCUUACUCUGCAUGAACAUAGCAGCAGAGCUUAUAUUCCUUCAUGACUGUUACAUGUUCUCUCUUACAUCAGUAGAUUCAAAUCUAACGGUUUGUAAUAGUAAGCCAAUGUGAGUAUGACACAUGGCAAUACACAGCUGUCCUAACAGCUGGGAAUUCAAAACAGACUCUAGCAUUGCACCUGGCAUAUAAGCACAAGGCACUCAGCUAACACAAAGAUUAAAAACAGAUUGAAUAUAAACUGACAUAGAACUUACUAACUAAUCUGAAAUUAGCUAGACAGUUUACAUUUUAACACUCCCUUCUAAAGUGCUAGCUGAUUUCACUCCAAGCAUUCUCCUCAAAUAGUCAAACCUGUCUUUGGGAAGAGCUUUGGUGAAGAUAUCAGCAAUCUGCUCUUCUCCUUUGCAGUAGAGCAGUUCAAUCACUUCUUCUUGUAUUGCAUCUCUAAUAAAAUGAAACUUCCUUUUAAUAUGCUUGCUCCGUUGAUGAAAAACAGGAUUUUUAGCCAUUGCUAUGGCUGAAGUGUUGUCACAAAACACAGUUGUUGCAGUGGUCUGUUCUUCCCCAAAAUCUUCAAGAACAAACCUGAGCCAAAUGGCUUGUGAUGUAGCUUCUGCUGCACUCACAUACUCUGCCUCUGCAGUAGAGAGAGCCACACUGUGUUGUUUGACUGAUGCCCAUGAAAAAGCACCACUUCCAAAUGAAAAUGCAUAUCCAGAAGUGCUUUUCAUAUCUUCCUCAGAUCCACUCCAGUCACUGUCACAGUAACCAACUAAGAGUGCAGAUUUUCCUGUCACAUACUCAAUUCCAUAGUCAAUUGUGCCUUGUAUGUACCUUAGAACCCUUUUAGCUGCCCCAUAGUGCAUCUUAGAAGGGUUAUGCAUGAAUCUUGCAAGCAGGCAGGCAGAGAACAUGAUAUCUGGCCUGGUUGCAGUAAGGUACAGCAGGCUGCCUACAAUUUUUCUGAACAAACUUUCAUCUGCAGCAUCACUUCCAUCCUCUCUUUUCAAUUUAUCAGUAGCCACUAAUGGAGUGCUUACUGACUUGCAGUCUUUGAGUCCAAACUUAUCCAAGAGAGUGAGAGCAUACUUCUUUUGAUGAAUGAAGAUGCUCCCUUCAGUUUGUGUUACUCCCAUACCAAGAAAAUGGUGGAGUAAACCCAAAUCAGACAUCUCAUACUUGCACAUCAUUUCAGCUUUGAAUUCUUUCAUCAUUUCAUCUCUACUUCCUGUGUACACUACGUCAUCUACAUAGAUUGACACUAUUAGUGUUCCCACCUUCCUUUGUUCUCACAUAGAGAGUGGCUUCACUUGGACUUCUGUGAAAACCACACUGAUUCGAGUAGGUGUCAAUUUCACUAUACCAGGCCCUUGGAGCCUGCUUCAACCCAUAGAGGGCUUUUCUUAACCUAUACACCUUAUCCUCAUCAUCUUUAACCACAAAACCAUCCGGUUGAUCAAUAUAAACUUCUUCUUCAAGGACACCAUUUAGGAAGGCUGACUUGACAUCCAAUUGCCAUAGUUUCCAGCCUUUCUGAGCAGCAAGAGCUAUGAGAGUUCUAAUGGUGUCUAACCUUGCUACAGGAGCAAAGGUUUCAUUGAAAUCAAUCCCUGGUUUUUGUGUGUAUCCCUUGGCAACAAGUCUUGCUUUAUGUUUUUGAAUGGAGCCAUCAAGAUUAAGCUUAAUUUUGAAUAUCCACUUCACUCCCACAAUUGGUUUACUACUUGGCCUGUCAACCAAUUCCCAACUGGAGUUUUUCUCUAUCAUAAGUAUCUCCUCAGUCAUAGCCUUCCCCCAAGCUUCAUCUUUGACUGCUUCUUCAAAAUUUUCAGGUUCAAUGAUGCUCAUCUUGCAUUGAGCAUACACUUCACUCAAACUCUUCCAUUUCUUUGGGGUGUUAUCAUAAGUUUCUAAUGGAGCAGAGUCUUGAGUAGCAUGCACAUCAUUACUUGUUUGUGUUUCCAUAGGAGACUGUACAAUCUGUUGCUGUAACAGAUUUGGUUAUGAAUCCAAAUCUGAUACAAUUGAACUUACUCCAUCACCCCAAGACAUAGGGAUUUGCAAUGCCUCAUUGGUUUCCCAAUUCCACAUUGCUUCUUCAUCAAAAAUAACACUCCUAGACAGCUCAAUCUUUUGAGUUCUCAAGUUGAGCACUCUAUACCCCUUUUCACAUACACCAUAUCUUACAAAUACUCCCUUCUCACCUGUGUCUUCCAGCUUGUGCCUUUUCUGUGUGGGGAUGUGAAUAUAGCAUAGAGAACCAAAUAUUCUCAAAUGCUUGACACCUGGUUUUCUUCCACCGAACUUUUCAAAUGGAGUGGAAUUGUCCAGUGCACUUGUAGGACAUCUGUUCUGCAAAUAUACAGCUGUAUUGACAGCUUCUGCCCAAAACUUCAAAGGGAUUUUCUUCUCAUACAUCAUGGCUCUUGCCAUUUCCAUCACAGUACGAUUCUUUCUCUCUGUAACUCCAUUCUGUUGUGGAGAGUAGCCUACUGNNNNNNNNNNNNNNNNNNNNNNNNNNNNNNNNNNNNNNNNNNNNNNNNNNNNNNNNNNNNNNNNNNNNNNNNNNNNNNNNNNNNNNNNNNNNNNNNNNNNNNNNNNNNNNNNNNNNNNNNNNNNNNNNNNNNNNNNNNNNNNNNNNNNNNNNNNNNNNNNNNNNNNNNNNNNNNNNNNNNNNNNNNNGGUGUGGUCAUCAAUGAAGGUGAGGAAAUAUCUGUUCCCUCCAAGAGUGAUGGUCUGCAUUGGACCACAAAUGUCUGAGUGAAUCAGUUCUAGAGGUUGAGUGGCUCUCCAAGCUCCUUCCUUAUCAAAAGAGCUUCUGUGAUUCUUGCUUUCAGCACAACCUGAGCAGACCUUCUCAUGUUCUUGUAAAUUAGGCAUUCCCUGAACCAUAUCUCUCUCUUGUAACAACUUCAAACUAAUAUAGUUUAGGUGCCCAAAUCUUCUGUGCCACAGCCAGGAUGUUUCUCCAACUGUUGCUCUGUUUGCCAUAGGAGGAUUAACAUAGUCAAGAUUUAAAGGAAAACAUUUGUUUCCCUUCAUUGGCACUCUUGCAAUGCAAUCUUCCAACUGCCUAUCUCCAUAGAUAUCAACUGCAUUAUCACCAAAUACAAGCCAAUGCCCAUGUUCUAUCAUUUGACCUACACUUAGCAAAUUUUCAUCUAAACUUGGUACAAUCAUGAUUUCUUUGAUAUAUCUAGUCACACCCUUCAUUUCUAUAGCCAAAGUCCCUUUGCCUAUUAACUGCACUAGAUCACCAGUCCCCAUUUUGACUUUACUCUUCAUACUUUUAUCAACAUUUACAAGUAAUGACUCAUGGGAAGUCAUGUGAUUGCUGCAUGCACUAUCAACAUACCACAUAUUCACAUUCUUUCCAAUUGUUGCAGCAUGACAUGCAUAGAACAUAAUGGCAGGUUCAGUUACCUGAUUUGCAAUGUUAGCAAGUUUCCCUGCCUUGUUUGCUUGGUCACAGUCCUUAACAAAAUGACCAAAUCGAUUGCAGCCAUGACACUUUGGUUUUCCUUUAAACCAACACUCACCAUAGUGUAACUUCUCACAAUGUUUGCAUUUUCCAGAUUUGUCUCCUUGACUUGGUUUUCCCCCUUGAUUGGCACUGUUUUGGGGUUUAGAAUCCCAUUUCUUAUCCUUGGACUUCCAAUUCUUCUUUGAUUUAUUAGAGCCAGAACUAGAACUUGAUUGAGAUCCUUUUGAGUUUAUGCUCAUGCUGCUGAAAGCUUUCUCAGUGGUGCUUUCUGCAUGUCUGUCAAGGCGCUGAGCAAAACCUCUUAAUGCUGCAAUUACCUCCUGCACUUCAAUGGUUUCAAUGUCUCUAGUUUGCUCAAUCACAUAGCAGACUGGAUCAAAUUCCUUGGUUAAGCUUAUUAGCAGUUUUUGAACUAUCCUCCCUUUGGUCAGAUCUUCCCCAUAUCCCUUCAUCUGAUUUACAAGCUCAAGUAACCGAGUGAUGUAUCCAGACAAGAUCUCAUCAUCCUUCAUCCUGGUGUACUCAAAAUCUCGACGCAGACCCUGCAACAUGAUGGAUCUGACUUGCUUAUCACCAUGAAACUCCUGAUGCAAGAUAUCCCAAACACCUUUUGAGGUUUCUUCAUUUGAGAUUCUGGGAAAGAUGUCAUCUGAAACAGCACCUUGGAUAAUACCAAGAGCCUUAGCAUCUUUCAUCAACAAGGACACCAUCUCUGAAUCUGAUGACCCUUCUUUAUCAGCUUUUGAAUCUGGAACUUGAAGGCCUUUCUCAACCAAAUUCCAGAUUCCAUGAGAUUUGAAAAUUGUUCUCAUUCGAAUCUUCCAAAACUCAUAGUUCUCCCCAUUGAAUAUUGGAGCUCUAAGAUCACUCCCUCCUGACCCAGCCAUCUGAGACCAGACUCAAUGAGUUGAGAGUAGGAAAUUUCCCGUUGGAUUUCCAGACUCAGCUCCCACAGCUUCAACGCCCUCUAUCCAGAUCCAACCUGCGCACCUGAUACCAUGUUGAAUAUUUGGAUUGCAAAGGGAGCAAGAAAUGUACUGAGAGAGAGAGAGAGAGAGAGAGAGAGAGAGAGAGAGCAGUGAGCCUUAGAUUGUUCUAACAGUUUUCUUACUCUGCAUGAACAUAGCAGCAGAGCUUAUAUUCCUUCAUGACUGUUACAUGUUCUCUCUUACAUCAGUAGAUUCAAAUCUAACGGUUUGUAAUAGUAAGCCAAUGUGAGUAUGACACAUGGCAAUACACAGCUGUCCUAACAGCUGGGAAUUCAAAACAGACUCUAGCAUUGCACCUGGCAUAUAAGCACAAGGCACUCAGCUAACACAAAGAUUAAAAACAGAUUGAAUAUAAACUGACAUAGAACUUACUAACUAAUCUGAAAUUAGCUAGACAGUUCACAUUUUAACAUUCUUAUGGUCGGCAGGGACAAGAAUUCCAGGGCUGCUCAACUUGAAUACACCUGAUGAACCAGUGAGGGGUGUGUUUCUUUUAGUCUGCACUAUAUAUGCAGGGUCUGACUCUAAUUAGAAGAUAAUUGUAUUAAUUUGGUAAAGCUUUGUCUGUAACUGUCUCGCACCUUAAAAAAAUUUCACAAUUAGCAGCAUUGGCAAUACUUGAUUAGAAAGCAGAAACCCUACAGUAUAUAGUUAAGUUGAGUAGCUGGGAAGACAAUUAGUAAGCUUUCAAUACUAAAGUUGAAUAUUGGGGAGACAAAUUACUAGAGCUUCAAGUUCAGAUAAAUAGGAUGAAUUUCUCUUAAGGGAUCCCCUUUCACUGUAGCUUGGAGUAGAAUUCAUUUUGACACAAUAUCAAUUAUCAAUGUAAACACGUUACUGAUGCACUAUUGACAAUAUCGAUGCACGUCAUAUCAUAUUUGUGGGAGUAAAUUUCCUCACGAGAAUAUUUGGUUCAAAAGAUUCCCCUUUUUUUUUUUUUUGCCGCCUCUUUCUCCUUGCAAAAUAGAACAAAUAAGAGGACCACACCCGGGGGGUGUUGGCCAAAGGCCCUCCGAUGCUAAAUUAGUUCAAGUAUUUGUAAGAAAAAUACUAGCUAACUAGGGUACAGAGGUGUAUUUAAGGUGUAAACCGGGCAGCCGAAGUCUUAUGUAAAAGAGAGAGAGAAAGGAGGUGGCUAGCGUUUGAGAGGAAUUUUCUGCAGAGUUUUUAGUAGAGAUUUCAGACGUACCUCAACCAUUGUGUGUGGCCAUCUUUUUAUAGUGGUCUUGGAGGCUAGGGUUUCAGAGGAAUAAUUCCGUAGAUGGAAAGGAAUUAUUCCUCCCCUAUUUGGAAUUGAUUUGAUUAAUUAGGGAUUUGAUUUAUUAGGGUAAAUCAAAUCCCUAAUUGUGGUAGGUAUCAAAUCAAAUCCUUUUUUAAUUAGGUAACUCCUCAUUUAAUUGGGAAUUGUGGUAGGAAUCAAAUCAAUUCUCAACCUAAUUAGGUAACGUUCAAUUUAAUUGGGUAAUUCCCAAUUAAAUUGAGUAACUCCCAAUUAGGUUGAUUAAUUCCCAAUUAGAUCAAAUAAUCCCCUAAUUGAAGGAAUUAUUUGACCUAGGGUCUGAUUUAAUUCGAUUCCCACAAAUGCCCCCCAGCUUCUGCAUGGUGCAUGGUGGCACGUAGGAGAUGUAAAUUAUCUGUUGGGCUGUCCAGCUGUAACUGGGCUUCCUUCGUGGACCUGGGCUCCCGAGUAGAGGAGGUGUUUGACUUGCCAAUUUUAUGAACACCCAAUUGGAAAGGGUUUGAGAUUCCUUGUAGGUCAAGGAAUUUUGCUCCUUAUAAAUGUAGGGCUCCUCCAAAUUAUUCUCGACAUCAGAAAUCUACUCCUCCAAAUUUGUUAGUGAGAGAGAGAAGACUUUGGAGAAUUUUUCAGCGUGCUUGAGACUUCAUCUUUGCAGCCCAUCCAAGGUAAUUUGAUAGGAAGAAUUUUAUUUUGAGUUGCUAUGACUUUUGGCAGCAAGCUGUGAGACUAAGGGCAUGUCUUGAGGUGCGCGCUAGGGCUUUAGGCAUGGCAAGAGACUCGGAAAGGCUAGCAGGUUCGUUUCCACCUACGCUGGGCUCAAGGAGAAGGCAACAGGGCUUCAGGCCUUGUGGAUGAAGUGGGCUUUCGCUGGGAGCAAGAGGCCUGGAGCUGAGGCAAGGAGACAAUGGGCCUGGUACGAGGUGUGGGCUGAGCAUGCCAGCUUUGGAGCAAGGGGGCCAGGACGACUGCUGGGCAGGAGGUGCGCUGGGCUGCAUGCGCGAGCUGCGCCGAGUGCUGGCUGGAGGAGCGAGCUGGGCUGCGCGCUAGGCCAUUCAUGCUGGGCUACUUCCGUUUUUUUUUUGUUUUUUUUUAAAUUUUAUUUGCUGUUGCUGCUUUUUUUUUUGUUUUUUUGUUUUUUUUUUGUUUGGUAUUCUAACUCGUAAUUUUUUUUUUCUUCUUACAGCUACUUGUUGAUCAACCAUGUCUUCCGGAGAUGGUAGCAAGGCUCCAAGCUCUUAGGUCCUUUUGUAUUUAUGGGGAGGCUCCAUAGUGCAUGGCAAGAAGUUUGUGGUCAACUUGCAUCGCGUCACGACUUAUGCUCAGUUCCAGAAGUGGCGGGCCACUUAUGCGUCUGCCAUUCCAGAUGACGUGCUGGUCAAGCUAUUGAAAUCUCAAACUGAUAACGAGCCUUUGGUGGACGUGAGUGAUCAUGAUGCUAGGAUCAUUACCUUCCGUCCUUUUUACUUCUCUUUAGGCUUCAAAUUCCCGUUGUCAAAGCUCUUCAAGAAGGUGUUCUGUGCCAUGGGGUGUGCUCCGAGCCACUGUACUCAUGUGCUUCAAGAAUUUGAGUCGUUUCUUCAUGUUGGAGCUGACGAUGCGAGAGUUCUUUUAUUUUUUUCGAAGUGAGGCACUUUGAGCGGUACGCCCAAGUUCGUAUCUACAAGGCCAAGCUGUUCCACGGUCUCAGUCAAGGAGAUCACGCUUGACAUGAAGAUGUGUUGGAGGUCAGCAGACGGUGGGAGGGUGACGUCGGUGACGGCCCACCUGUUCCCAUCACCUAUUGUGAUGGUAUGUCUCUUUACGAUUUUUGAUAUGCUCCUUUUAUUUGAAUUUCUUGAAGUGUGGCAGACUAACUUCUAUCUUCUGCUCGUAGUGAGUGACAUUAGCAAGCAAUUGGAGCUCCGACCAGACAUGGCUAAGGUCCGUCGUGCUUUGAACAUCCCUCUAAGGUUUCACGAGUGGCGCUGGCUGUUGAGUGAGUACCGGGAGGAAGACGGUGGUUUUCUCCUUGCCGAGGAUGUCGAAAGGUGGAAGCAGAACGAUCCUGACCCUGAUGAUCUGCUUGGCAGACAGGAAGAAUGUUCUGCUUAAUCGCUCUUAAAGAGAAAGGCUGCUGCCAAAUCUUUGAGAUGUGAAGCUACUUCUUCGCAUGCAAAGGAUGGGUCUCCAUCGAGGAAGAAACCAAGGCUCCCUUCUGCUGAGAAGACUCAAGUGGGGUCUGCUCCCUCAUCAUCUGCCAGGGUUAAGCAUCUCGUGGGUGCAGAUAGCAAGAAGGUUGGUGGUAUGCAUGGUACUCGGGGUGUUCUGCCCAAGCUUCCUGCUGACACGCUCGAAAACCAUGAUAUACUUCGUGAAGUGGCUCGUGCCCAACCUAGUUCUGCCAAGCGUCAAAGAGAUGUAGACAUUCCUCCUAGAAGUUCGAGUUGUCUGCAUCGGUCAAAAGAUGGAGACCGAAGCGGGAGGUCUGCUUAUGAUCCAGCAUUAUUGACUCAUUUGGAGAUGAGGUUGGCGAAGGCUAAGAAGGUGAAAGAGUCAUCUGCCCGGGUUAAGGGUUCUUCCUCGGCGUUGGUAGUUGGUCCCAAGAUGAACAAGUCUAGCUCUGUAGGGGAUGCAUGCGUAUCUGAUCUGCUCAAGAUGAACUUCCUAUCAAACCCGUCCUCUUGUGUUGAGUUGGUUGAUCACAUCCCUCAAGCGGGCGAUCUAGGCACUUUCUCGUGCCUUUCCUUAGAAAAAUGAAGGAAAAUGACAUUCCAUCUGAUUCAAAAAGGACUGGUUUUUGCUACUGAGACUAUUUGGAACUCAUCUGCUAUUGCCCCUCUUCUGUCCAACUCAGCGAGUUGGAGAAGAAGAAUGCUGAUUGGCUAGACAGCUUUCCGCCGAGCAGGCCCGUUACGAGAAGAAGAUGUCUGAUUUGAGGGCGAUGAUAUCUGAGCUGAAAAGCUCCCUUACCGAGAAGGAUUUCGAGCUCAACUCUUCUGCUGCUGAUUUGGCUAGUCGAAAAGAUACCUUCUUUCGUCUUGAGCAUAAGAAUGCUGACAUCUUCCUUAGCUAUAACAAACUCCUGGCUAGAUUUCAUGCCUACCAUAAGUCUGCUAAAGAAUCCAAGACAGAUGGAGCUGCUGAAGGCGUAGCCGGUCAGGUGGAUGCCGAAGAGGCUGCAGCUUAAAAGUCUUCUGCUGGCGUCUCAGAGUAGAUGAAGACUCUUUUUUGUUUCUUUUCAGCUUUUGUAGUUUGCUUUAUUGUUUAGAAUAACUGGUCUUAUUUGACCAUCUUCUUUUUGUUGAACUUGGCUGGUUGGUCUGUUUGUUAGGGAAAUUUCAGUUACAUUUUCCAACUUCAAUUUGCAUAUUUGACUUGUGAACUGCUUAAGUAACCAGCCUGUGUUUUGAUUGCACAUCCCCCUUUAGAGAUUUGUGAGUACCAGGGUCCCCCUUGGAGGACUCCGGCCAUGCACAGUAUAUCUCGUAGGAUGGUUCCCCUUAGGAAGUUGGCGAGUACCAGGGUCCUCUUUGAGAGACUCCGGGUGUGUUCUGCACAUCCCGUAUGAUGCCUUAAUCGUCGCCUUGCUUCUCCCGUAGGACGCUGCUUAUAGGCAACUAUAUGACUAUCCUGCCUUUCUUAGGAAACGGAUAGGAACCUGGAUAUUUCCCGCAUGAAGCAUGGAGACCUCCUUUUAAGAAAUUUUUGGUGCACCAUGCUUCUCCCUUAGGACGCUUUUUUCGCAGGCUGGGUCUCCAAAUGGACGCUUUUAGUCGUUGCCCUGCGUCUCCCUUAGGACGCUCCUUAUGGGCAACUGUGUGACUAUCCUGCCUCCCUUAGGAAAUGGAUAAGACUUGAAUAUUUCCCGCAGUAAGCAUGGCGACCCCCUUUUAAGAAACUCCUGGCGUACCCUGCAUCUCCCUUAGGAUGCUUUUUAAGAGGGCUGCUUCUCCAAACGGACGCUUUUAGUCGUUGCCUAUGUCUCCCCUAGGAUGCUCCUUAUGGGCAACUGUGUGACUAUCCUGCCUCCCUUAGGAAACAGAUAGGAAACUAGAUAUCUCCCUUAGGAAAUUCCUAGCGCACCUUGCGUCUCCCGAAGGACGCUUUUUUAGCUGGCUACGUCCCGAAACGGACACUUUUAGUCGUCGCCCUGCGUCUCCCUUAGAAUGCGCCUUAUAGGCAACUGUGUGACUAUCCUGCCUCCCUUAGGAAACGGAUAGGAACCUGGAUAUCUCUCUUAGGAAAUUCCUGGGGCACCUUGCGUCUCCCGAAGGACGCUGCUUAUGGGAAAAUAUUGUGUUUCGUGGGCAGAUGAGACAUUUUGGAAUGAGAAACUGAACUUAUAUUGAUAUUCAUAAGAUUACAGUCCUUUAUUUGAAAAUGGAAAUAACUUGGUUCAAAAACUUAGAACUUCUAGCAGCUACGAGGAAGCACUAUGGAUAAUACUUUCGGAGAUGGUGAGCAUUCCAUUGUCGUGGUAUUUCCUUCCUAUCCAUGGUGUCCAGUGUGUUGCUUCCUCUGCCCCGGACCUGCUGAUCACAUAAACGCCCUCCCAGUUAGGAUUCACUUUUUUUGACCCGUGUCUUGGUGCAGUAAUGAAAGCCUUAGCACGAGGUCGCCUGGUUGAAACUGUUUGACCUUAGCUCUUUUGUCGUAGUAAGACUUCAACUGCUAGUGAUAGGAGGCGACCCGAAUAAUGGUCUUCUCACGCCUGCCCUCAAGUAAGUUGAGGUUGAGCCUCAUCUGCUCGGAGUUCUGAUCAACACUGCCUACCUUAAGACUUAUAGAGAGGACAGUGAUGUGAGGUGGUAUGAUCACUUCUGUUCCAUAGGCGAGAGAGAAUGGGGUUUCACCAGUCGAUCUUCGCUUGGUGGUGUGAUAAACCCAUGGUACUCUGGGGAGUUCAUCCACUCAUUUCCCUUCAGCGCCUUCCAGCCUUUUCUUUAAGCAGUCCAAUAUGACUUUGUUGGAUGCCUUGGCUUGUCCAUUUCCUUGUGGAUACCUCGGGGUGGACAAGUGUUGUUUGAUCUUGUAUUUCACAAAAAAAGCGGUGAUCUGCUUGCCAAUGAACUGUGAGCCAUUGUCGGUAACCAACGACUGUGGGCAGCCAAACCGGCAUAUGAUGUUUCUCCAGAUGAAUCACUCCACAUCGGCUUCUUUAGUAAAUGAUAGAGCUUCGGCCUCGAUUCAUUUAGUAAAGUAGUCGGUGGGGACGAUCAUCAUUUCUUUCUUGGCGGGCGCUAGUGGCAAGGGAUCCACUAGGUCGAUGGCCCAUUGCAUGAACAGCCAUGGACUGUUUUGCGGAUGAUAGACUUCGGCAGGCAAGUUAGGGAUCGGCUUGUAUUGCUGACAGCGUCACAUUUCUUGGCACAUUCAGCACAGUCGUGACGUAUGGUAGGCCAGAAGUAGCCUAUGUUUAGAACUUUCUGGGCGAGUGACCUGCCCCAGAAUGGUUGCCAUACUCGUCGUCGUGAAUUUUACAGAUAAUCUCAAGUGUUUGAUGGUACUUUAUGCAGGUGAGAUGAAGGCCGGAGUAUGAUCUGUGGAUGAGCUUGUUGCCGUGCAUGUAGUAUCUCUCGGCCUUUUGCUGGACUUUUCUAGCUUCGGACUUGUCCGUUGGCAGGUUUCCAUUCGUGAAAUAGUCGAUGAUGAGGUCUUGCUAGCUGGGGUCCUCGUCAAUCUGCAUGGUAUUAAUCGGCUCUAUUUCUUCAAUGCUUGGUCGGUCAAGGUGUUCGACCUAGAUGGAGUGUUUGAACUGGGUAUCCAGCGUUGAACCUUGGCUUGCCAGUGCGUCUGCAUGCGCGUUCUUUGCCCGGGACACUUGUUGGAUAGUGAAGGUAGGAAAUGCCUUCAACAGCUCUUGGACUCUAUCAAGGUAUAAGAUCAUCCUUGGGUGCUUUGCCAUAUAUUCACCUGAGGCUUGAUUCGUGAUCAACUGUGAGUUUGAGUAGAUGGCUAGCUUUUUGAUUGCGAGCUCCUUUGCCAAGCGUAAGUCGGCGAGUAAUGCCUCGUAUUCUACCUCGUUGUUCGAGACCGAGAAGCCAAGCGUAAUAGCUUGCUCUAACAGGGUUCUAUCCAGGGUGGUGAUAACGACCCCUGCUCCAGCUCCUUUUUGGUUCGACGCUCCGUCUACACGCAACUGCCACAUGUCUCUGGGAUGGCUUGGUUCUGCGGAGGUCCUGUCUGCUUUUGAACUUCCCUCCUUUUGGUUGACUAACUUCUCUUUUUUGGCUGAUGGGGUGAAUUCUGCGACGAAGUAUGCUAAAGCCUGGGCUUUUAUUGCAGUUUUUGGCCCGUAGAGGAGGUCAUAUUGGCUUAGCUCUAUAGCCCACUUCAUGAGUCGCUGAGAAGCAUCAGGGCUGUGGAGGAUUGAUCUCAAAAGAAAGUCAGUCAUGACUAUGACUCGAUGAGCUUAGUAGUAGGGUCGCAGCUUUCUCGCAGAAACUACAAGAGCCAAAAUAAGUUUCUCCAAUUUCGGGUAACGAGUCUCUGCAUCGAGGAGAGCUUUUGACGUGUAGAAUACCGGAUAUUGGGCCCCUAUCUCUUCUCGGAUGAGAGCUGAACUGACAGCUGAGUUGGACUUACCUCACUAGGGACUGGAUUUGAGAGCAUGGAAGGUGAGGUGAGGUAAGUCUUCAGAUUAUGGAAAGCUACUUUGCAGUCCUCAUCCCAUUUCUCUCUUUGUCCUUUCUUCAAAGCUUUGAAGAGUGGUCUGCACUUGUCGGUUGAUCUCGAGAGGAAUCGGUUGAGAACCGCUGCUUUGUCCGUCAGACUUUAUAUCUCUUUCACCGUGGAAGGCGACUUCAUCUCUAGAAUGGCUUUGAUUUGACGUGGAUGUGCCUCGACACCUCGUUGCGUGGCUAGGUAUCCCAAGAAUCGGCCGGAGGAUACACCAAACAGGCAUUUACUUGGAUUCAACUUCAUGCGAUACUGGCGGAGCAAGCUGAAUGAUUGGGUAAGACUUCCGAUGUGAUCUGCACGUUUUGGGGCUUUGACCAGCAUGUCAUCCACGUAGACCUUCAUAGUUUUGCCGAUCUGCUUAUUGAAGAUUUUAUUCCCGAGCCUUUGAUAGGUUGCUUUGGCGUUCUUCAGCCCAAAGGGCAUGACCUUAUAGCAGCAGGUCCCUCUCUCGAUGAUGAAAAAAGUUUUUGCCUUGUCAUCCUCGUGCAUCAGGAUUUGUUUAUAGCUGGACUAGGCGUCCAUGAAGCUAAGCAGUUGAUUGCCAGAAGUGGAAUCCACGAGUUGGUCGAUUCUCGGCAAUGAGAAGUUGUCUUUAGGGCAUGCUUUGUUGAGGUCUGUGUAAUCGACACAAACUCUCCAUUUGCCAUUUUCUUGUUUUGCCACCAAAACAACGUUGGCAAGCCACUCUGAGUAGGAGGCCUCUUCGAUGAAGCCGACAGCUAGGAGUUUGUCAAUCUCGGCCUCGAUGAUAGCAAGUCGCUGGGGUGCGAAGUUGCGUCUCUUCUGCGCCACUGGCUUGCAGGCAGGGUUGAAGUGGAGUCAGUGACAGAUGAUGUUCUUGUCGAUGCCAGACUUGUCUGACGGCAACCAUGCGAACAUGUCUCUGUUGCUCUGGAGGAAGGUGGUAAGCUCCACAUUCUCUUCUGGCCUUAGGCGCGAACCGAUCCACUCUUUCCUAUCUGGUUGGUCAGGAUCCAAGGGUAUUAACUCGACGUCCUCCUUGGGUUUCCAUCCUUCUUCAGGAAAGACCUAUGGACGGAUUUCCUCGACUUGGUCCUGACGCUUUAAUUGCUAUAAGAUAGCAAGAUCCAGUUGCUCAACCUCCUCCAGAUCUGCCUGGCUCACAGGGAGAAACUGCGCUUGUUUACCUUUCUUUAGCCCUUGGGCGGAGCAUUUCCUCGCCAUUGCCUAAUCGUUGUUGAUUUGGCCGACACCGCCCCCAAGGAUUGGGUACCGAAUUUUCUAAUGUGUGGCGGAGGUGAUUGCAUUAAUUUUGCCAAUCGAUGGUCUGCCCAGAAUGCCGUUGUAGGGUAAGACCUUAUUAAUGACCAUGAAGGUUAUGAGCUGAUUAUAAGUGGGGAGUAGACGUCGAGGUCUAUCAUGCCCACGGUAACCGUUGUUGCACCAUUAAAAUCGCUCAGCAACCUAGCUAAUUUGUAAAUCUUUGUCUCCAAUCCCAUCUGUUGAAUGACCUCCAGUUGCAGGAUAUUGGCUGCGCUGCCCUCGUCUGUGUGGAUUCAGUCUACCAUGACCUGAGCAAUUUGAAUGCUGAUGACAAGGGCUUCGUUAUGUGGCAUGUAGAGGCCGAUCAGAUCUUUCUUUUGGAAGCCGAUUACAGGAUCGUCUUCUGCUGGUGGAAGGUCGGUCGAGAUUUGGGAGAUCACAGUGGUCUGUUUGAUCUUCCUCUUUUUUUCCUUUCUGGUCAGCCCAGACUCCUCGGAGUCAGCUAGGAUUGUGUUAAUUCUUAUGACCUUCUGAGGCGGCUCCUUGGCGAUGUCACGAUCUUCUAUCCGCUGGAUGACCUUCUUUGCAAUGAAUUCUGUGCAGUGACCUUCUCUCACGAGUUCUUCAAGAUGUGCUUUCCAAGCGAAGCAGUUGUUCAUAGUGUGUCCGUGCAUUUCAUGGACGGCACAGUAUUUGCUAGUAUUCCUUUUGUCCGGAUCUUCUUUCAAGGGUGGUGGUCUUCUUACCCAAGGUUGUUCUUCACUUGGGCUAAGAUUUGAUGUAUGGAGAUGGUGAACUUGGUGUAGUUCUCUCCUGCCGUAGCAUCCCCUUAUGGGUGCGACCUGCGCUUGUCCUUGUCCCUGUUGCUAAAUCCGUCGCUUCUUUGGCCUGCCCCCUUAGUCGGCUGAUCUUCCUGCUUAGUAGAGUUCUUUGCGGCGAUUCGAUCGUCAUCCCAAAGCGCAUAGCUUUCCGCGGUCUCGUAGACCUCUGCCAAAGUUUGGCUGGGAGUGAUGGUCAGCUCGUGGUACAAGUCGUGCUCAGUCGAAAGGUCUUUCUUGAAAGCAGAGGACGCAAUUUGGUCAUCACAUCCUACAAUGUUGGCCUUUUCUACUUUGAAUCUCUUGAUGUAAUCUCUAAAGGAUUCGUCGAACUUCUUGCGCAGGUUAUACAGGUGGUCAGGGUUCUUCUUGAUUGUUCGGUAAGAGGUGUAUUCUUUGGUGAAUAAGUAAGUCAGCUCCUUGAAGCUGCUGAUCGACCUGGAUGGCAGAGUAUGGAACGAGUCUUGGGCUUCCUCACAAGGUCAUUGCAAACACCUUGCACAUCAGCGCGUCGUCAACCUUGUGGAGGAUCAUGACACUUUUGAAGUGUUUUAGAUGGCUCUCAGGAUCGGAAUCCCCCUUGAAGUGUGUGAAUGUGGGCGUUGAGAAUCGCUUCAGGAGAGCAGCCUGCUCGAUUUUGGCAGUGAAAGGUGUAGAGUAUGCCUGGUCUACCUCAUUUCGUACAUCUUCGAAAUUUCCACCGGUCUUCAAGUCUCGAAGUUGGUCAUUCACAAGCUUCUCUACGUCUUCCGCACACAUUGCUUGUCGGCCACAUUGGCGACCUUCACGAAUUGUUCGAUGCUGACUGACUUCCUCGUUGAUUUCCGAGGAUCGACCUUCUUGUCUGCAUUGCCUAGGUGGAGUGUUGGUGGAUUGCGCCUACGAAAGAUUCUCUGUGGCUUGUCAAUGAGAAUCGGUUCUUCGAGAGUGAGUAACGAAGUGCCUUUCCUCAUGGUCCUUAUUGUGAGGGUUAUCCAGCUGACCUCCCUGGGGCCUAGCCUUUCCUGAAUGCUUCUCUGCGAGUAGACAGUUGAAUGCUUUUCUUCACGAUCCUCGUUGUGAUGGUUGUUUGGCUGACCUCCUUAGGGUCUUAGCCUUUGAUGUACAUUUCCCUGCCUGCCCAAGUAGGUGCGGACGUCGAGUCGUGGGCCCAGCCUUUCGUGCACGUCGUUCCUUAAACUCAAUCUGCUCUGAGUGUGGCUUGCAGAUGCUUGCGACAUGUCGGCAGGUCGAUCACGUUGUUGUCCCUCGACUUGUCUGCCCACUCUUGCUUGACCUGCUUGGUACUCGUUGAGCUGUCUACCGGCCCGUUCAUCCUUCCUUCUUUCCUCGCCUGGUUGUCCAAGGCCAAGGUUUUGAGCAAAGCUUAUUUGGUUGAGGAGCUGCCUCAUUAGAUUGUUUUGGUCGUCCAUUCUUUAAGCUAGCUGGUCAACUCUCAGAUUAAGGUCUGCUUGAUUUCAUGGAUCAGGAGGAGAGAAGUGUGUGGAGCUCAACUGCACAUAGGCUAGGGUUUCAUUAGAGGUGUAUGCGGGAGCGUGUGUCGAGCGUGGAGGCAAUAGAGGGAAUGCUUGGAGUUGCUCCAAGACCGGCCCUAGGUCGGCGGUGGUAACGAGUCCACCUUGAUGGGAAGUUCCACCAUGUUUGGCGGCAGUGACCGAUGCAGUGGUGAGAGGUGGUGGUGCCACCAUGUCGAUCGCGGGAUCGUUGGUGGAGUGGCUUUGGGCCGUCGCAAAUCUAGCCAUCAUGGCGGCUUUGCCUCUCGUGUUCAUGCUUCCAACCAUGGUUGUUUGGAAGGCUUAGGUGGAUUGGAAAAUUAGAGGAACGGAUUCCUUGAGCACGCAUUGAGUAUAACUCGUGCUCUCAAUGAAAGCACCAAUUUGUGGGAGCAAAUUUCCCCACGAGAAUAUUCGGUUCGAAAGAUUCCCCUUUCUUAUUCGCCGCCUCUUUCUCCUCGCAAAAUAGAACAAAUAAGAGGACCACACCCGAGGGGUGUUGGCCAAAGGCCCUCCGAUGCCUAAAUUAGUUCAAGUAUUUGUAAGAAAAACACUAGCUAACUAGGGUAUGGAGAUGUGUUUAAGGUGUAAACCGGGCGGCCGGAACCUUAUGUAAAAGAGAGAGAGAAAUGAGGUGGCUAGGGUUUGAGAGGAAUUUUCUGCAGAGUUUUUAGUAGAGAUUUCAGACGUACCUCAACCAUUGUGUGUGGCCAUCUUUUUAUAGUGGUCUUGGAGGCUAGAGUUUCAGAGAAAUAAUUUCGUAGAUGGAAAGGAAUUAUUCCUCCCCUAUUUAGAAUUGAUUUGAUUAAUUACGGAUUUGAUUUAUUAGGGUAAAUCAAAUCCCUAAUUGUGGUAAGUAUCAAAUCAAAUCCUUUUUUAAUUAGGUAACUGCUCAUUUAAUUGACAAUUGUGGUAGGAAUCAAAUCAAUUCUCAACCUAAUUGGUAACGUUCAAUUUAAUUGGGUAAUUCCCAAUUAAAUUGAGUAACUCCCAAUUAGGUUGAUUAAUUCACACUUAGAUCAAAUAAUCCCCAAAUGGAAAGAAUUAUUUGACCUAAGGUAUGAUUUAAUUCGAUUCCCACAAUAUUUAGAUGCAUAAUUGAAUGCGAAUAAACAUCACUCUCUCCAGUGUGAAAUGGCGAAAAUUCUCUUCAAUCAAAAGUGGGCUUACUUCAAAUUUAGUUGAAGAAUGAUGGUGUGUCUUGCCUGACAAUUGACAAUUAGGUUUAGGAGCGUUCCUCUAGUAGAAAAAUCUAAAUCAUUUGUGGUCAUCCACUCACUUGGUUAGUCUUCCAGAAUCAAAUACCAAAUCAACCCAAAGGAAGCUGCAAUUUUCUGAAUUGUAUACUUGUUUUAAUUCUUCCUAUCUUUUUCUCUCUUUCAUUUUUUUUGUCUCCCUCAAGUUAAUACUUAAGUGAGUUGCCAAAUGGGGGUAAAAAAGAGAGUAGAAGAGAUGAACCCCACAUUUGACUUUAAUAGACAAAUGCCCAAGAGAAGUACCAGUAAGAGCAUCUCCAAUUGGGAGGUGCUAUCCUAUAAUUUGACACACAUUUCUUUUUUCUUUUUUUUCAAUUCUAACAACAUGUCAUCUAUAUCGCAAUAGGCCGUUGUAGUUAAAUUUUCAAAUAACCAAGUUGCUCUCUAUUUUCCAAAGAAGACUAGAAAACAACUUACCAUCUAUCUGGUGCUGCUUCUUCCAAACAUUAGAAAAAACAGAGCUACACCCAGGAGGAGCCCAGGAGAUGACACAAUACUGCCUACUAUGAUUCUUACUUUCUUCACAUUCAAUGAGACUAUAAAAUAUAACCCAAGUGGUCUAACCCCCCAGGGCGGAAAUUGGGUUUAGCAAGUUUAGCACUGAUUGUUGUAUAGUCUUAAACAGUCCUGAUCUCUUGGACCCCUGUAGUCCAAGAGAUUUAUGGUCACCCACCGUUGGAUGUAAAUUCAACGGUUGACUUGAAUCGGGUAAUAAUAAUUUAUGUCAUAUUGCAUUUAUAUAUAUCAUUUUGAACCAUUGGAUUAAUAUCCAACGGUGGGUGACCACAAUCUCUUGGACUCCUGUGGUCCAAGAGAUCGGGACUGUAGUCUUAAAAUAAGUAGUUUAGCGAGUGCAAACUUCGACUUAAAAAAACUCUCAUGUAUAGCCGCGCGGCUAUACUAUUUACAUAUAAAUAUAUAAAAAAGCACCCCCUAGUCACGUGUCACAAAUAGUAUAGUCGAAAACAGUAGAGCCGCGCGGCUAUACUGUUUUUAAAAUAAAAAAAACCAUAUUCGAUUCUCCUUAUAUUUAAAAGGGGUAUAGCCGCAUGGCGAUACUAAUUUUUUUUUUUCAAAAAAAGGGACCCCAGUACUCCUUUUAUAUAUUAUAAUAUAUUGUCUAAUAUUUGGAAUAUUUACUCUAAAAUAAACAAUAUAUUAGGUUCUUUUUGUCUACAAAUUGACCAUUAAACUUCUUAAUCACUCUUAUACUUUCAAUUAAAUCUACUAGGCUAGGUUAUGAUAUUUUCACUAAAAAACUCCUCCUUUUUUUCUUCUCUUUCUCUUCCUGUUUUGUUUAACUUAAGCUUAAGUUUUGUAAUUUUUUUUCCCGCCCUUUUUACAUGUUUGAGUAGGGUACUUUAAUAUUGGGAUUUAUGAACUUUUUUUGUAUUUCUUCUUUAUAUUGGAAUAUAAAUUAUUAACUUUUGAGUCUUUAAUAGUGUAGAUGAUGAGAUUAUUAUUCAACCAUUUUAUAAUAUGAAAUGAAGGACAAUCAUGAUUGUGAUGAAUGGAUUAUUAAUCAAUAUGAAAUGAUAUUAUGAAGUGGGCUAAAUCGAGUAGUUAGUAUCGUAUUGUUGAGACCCAAAAAAUCCAAGGCUAGGCCCAAAUAUAUUAUGAAGUGGGCUAAAUCGAGUAGUUAGUAUCGUAUUGUUGAGACCCAAAAAAUUCAAGGCUAGGCCCAAAUAUAUUUCCGGUCCAAUGCGAUACCUUACCGAGAAGAAACCUUAUUUGGGCACGCGAAAGUUCGUCAUAUGCUCUUGCACACAUGCCAUGCCAAGCAAAUAAGCAACAUGCCACGCUACAAGCUUAAGUGGGCCCAAGCCACGUGAAUGCCUAGGGCCUGCUGAGUGGGUUGUGGUAUGGAUGGUUAUGAGUAUUCACGAGGCCCAUUGAUGGUCUAAGGAGUGGAAGUUUUGGGCUACUUGGGAGCACCAAAACUCAAGCCCAUUCAUUGAGCCCAAACAUAUGGGUAAGCAUGAGAUAAAACCUAGUAGCCCAUCACCUUAAGAAAUCCUAAUAGCCCAUAACAUGUGAGAAAAUCCCACAUCAACCAAAGCUUCCAGCAGUCUGACGAAAUCAAAGGGAACUCACAAGCCGUUGGAAACAAAACAACCCAACACUGUAACACCCCGACCCCAAAUUUCCCCAAAUUUAACCCUUAUUUAAUUAUUUAAGGGUAUUUUAGUCAUAUUUUUAACCGGAGAGAGUUUGGGGCAAUGACUAGUAUUUUUGGAUAGGUCGUACUGAGACGAGUUUAUGGACACGCAGUGAGCUCGAAUCGGAGUUGUAACGAGAGAGAUAUGGUCAAAAGAAGCCCAGUGGCACAAUCGUAAAUAUUUUGAAAUGAGAUUUUUUAUAAAAAUCUGGUUUUCUCUCUCUCUCUCUCUCUCUCUCUCUCUCUCUCUCUCUCUCUCUCUCUCUCGCUAGCGACCUCUCUCUCUCUCCCCCGUCGGUCUCUCCCCUCUUUCUCCUCGUAACUCCGGCCACCGGCCCCGGCUGUGGACGGGGCCGGUACCAAAAUGACCGAGGCGUCGUCCUCUUCCUACCCCAGCCACCUCCCACCGCCAGCCGUCGCGGAUUCGCCGGAAUCUGGAGAUGAAGCGGCCUACGUCGUCCAAAUUUCAAAGCUGCCGAUCUCCCUCCUCCGGCCACCAAUUCCGUCGACCCAGGUAUGGAUUUUGAACUUCUCGAGCUGCUCUAGCUGAUGGUUGGGUAGGAUUAGAUCGAUUCUUAGCUUAGACAACUCGAUUUUCAAAUUGAAAAUCGGCCGAACUUCGGCUGCCGUGAUCGGCCAUUUCCGGCCACUUUUUGGGGUAGGUCCAAGAACAAAAGUGGCUCCAAAUAGGGUGUUAUACCUAGGGUAGGAGUUUGGAGCCGUGGUUUUGAGAUUUUCCGGCGAAGCGUUAUCGCUUUGGGCACCCACGCGCUGCCGGUGCGUGCGGCGGCGCGUGGGCACUGUAGAAAAAGUAGCACUGUGUUCCGAUGAGAUCCUUAGGUUGUCACGAGUGCGUAGGAUUUUGCGGAUCUCAAUUCGGACGUCGUUUGACUAUCGAACGGAUAUUCGCAUAUUGCGCGUUAUUCGGGUUCGAUAGGUUGGGACCGUUGGAUGGACCCAAAUUUAAUAUAUGUUAAUCUAAUUAAUUCUAGGAUCGUGUAGGAAUUCACGGAUUGUGAAUCGGAGCCCCGGAUGUUCCGAAUAAUAAUUUUAAAGUUUGUAUUUUAUAUUAAUUGUCAGAUCGUGCGAUCGUGAGCAAUCUGACCGUUCGAUCUGAACCAAACUUGCAGGACAAGUGUCCUAUACCUUGUAGAACCCAUAGGGACCUUCGGAUCGGAAAUUGGAGGUCGUGGGUUCCGCAAGUCGGUUUGACCAGGGUUAGAGAAGUUUGACCCUUGGUUGACCGUGAGUCUCCCGGAGUAAUCUCACCUUUCUAGGGGAGAUUAUCGGGUACUAGAUGAUUGUGGACACAAUAUUAGAAUUAAUUUAUAUAAUUAUAAUUAUAUAUGGUUGUACAAGGGUACAACAGAGUCUAGAAUGUCAGUUUGGAGUGCUAUACGCACUACUUUAGGUACCUCCCCGGAUGUUGGGAUUUACUACAAGUACCACCAAGUGAAAUUGAGGUCCCGCGUGGCGUAGGUUAUCCAGCGUUGGGAUAGGUCUCAUACGUGGGGUUGGUUGUACCGGCGUAUGGGGAGAUUUGUGAUAUUAUGUUCAGGUCUCACGUGGCGUAGGUUAUCCGGCGUUGAGACAGGCCCCAUACGUGGUGUUGGUUGUACCAGCGUAUGGGGAGCUAUGUGAUAUUGUGUUGAGGUCGCACGUGGCGUAGGUUAUCGGGCGUGUCGACAGACCCCAUACGUGGCGUUGGUUGUACCGGCGUAUGGGGAGAUUUGUGAUAUGAAAUUGAGGUCCCACGUGGCGUAGGUUAUCCGGCGUUGGGACAGGCCCCAUACGUGGCGUUGGUUGUACCGGCGUAUGGGGAAAUAUGUGAUAUGAUGGCAUGGUCGCACGUGGCAUAGGUUAUUCGGCUUGUUGACAGGCCCCAUACGUGGCGUUGGUUGUACCGGCGUAUGGGGAGAUUAUUUGAAAUGCAGAGAAACGAAAUAUGGUAUCGCCCAAAUGUGGAAUUGGGUUUUAGGGAAGAACUACGUGUGGCUUGAUCCCUCAAGGAGGGUACGUAGGCAGCCUAAGGUUAAUAGGUGCAGCCGCAGACUAAAUGUUAGUCAUAAUUGAUAUUUGAAUUGUUUGGUAGUUGGUUAAGAAUUAUUGGAAGGCCGAAGGCCAUUUGUGUGAAUUGCAUGAAAUUAUAUUGUGCAUGCUGCCAGUUGGGAAUAUUAAAUGCGUUUUUAUGCAGGUAUAAAUUUUAGGAAAUGUCCAAUUUAUAGGGGAGACUCUGCCGAAUUUUCGGCAGGAAGUCUCAGUUUUUAGUAUCUGGGCCUGGCAUCGGGAGGAUGUCGGGAAUUCCAAAGGGUCGUCUCGAGUUCUGAAAAAUUCGGUGCGGGUCCUUUCAAACACCUUAUAAAAUAUCCAACGCCGUGCAUCUCUGUUAAAACCAGAUCACAGCCAAACCACCAAAACCAUGCAAACCCAUAUGCUGAUCACCAUUUUUACUAGCACCCUUACCCAUUCUUUCCUCUUCAAGCUUUGGUGAGAAAACAAGAAACAAAAGUGGGCGGAUCUUCACCCACAUGGAGAAAUCCAGCUGCCUGAGGGCCCUGGAACUCCAAAAAACUUCUUACCUACAUGCUCAGGCUAGGGAAGUUUCACCAAAUAAGCAAGAAUGGAAGAAAGUGAAGGAAAAGGGGAAAGGGUGGCUUGACGAAAUUAAGGUUUUCAGCACUUAUAAAAGGAAACACUUUCUAUCCAGCAAAAACAACUCACCCUGGUUGCUGCAAGCCUCCUAGCAACCAUGAGAAUUCAUUGAAGGCAAGCAUCCCCUUUGGAACCCUUCAAUUUCAUGCUUUGUUCUUCCAUCUUCCUCCUUUCUCUCUCUCUCAAAACCCACAUCCAGAGAGAGCAAGCAUCAUCUCUCAUCUUUGGAACCCUUCGAUUUGAAGCCUUGUUCUUCCAUUGCUUCCCAUUUUCUCUUCUGUCAAAUCACCUAGGAGCUUGACGAAACUUUCGUCAAGCUGCUGGAAAUAUGGUAAAGCCACCCAUGCUUCCAUCUUCUUCCUCUCUUUCCAUAAACACACAUCCAAAGAGCAAGCUUCAUCUCUCAUCCUCUAAACCUCUGCAAUUUCAAGCCUCAUUCCUCUAUCUUCUCCCAUUUUCAGCGGUAGUGAGAAUGAUUUCUGCGUGUGCAUGGGAAGGAUUGUAACUCAGAUGAGGAGGAGAUGGUUUGGAGUGGGGUGAGGCAGUUGGAUAGAGCUCUUGGCCUUUUCAAGUUUGGAUGGGAAAGAGCAGGGAUGAAAGAAGCUUUACAACUGCAAGGGCAUAUAUGGUGCGUAGGGGCUGAAGGCAGAACACUUACAUAUAGAGGAAACACAUUUUUUGUCCAUGGGAUUCAUGUUUGACAAACACUUGUCUUAGACUAUGAGUUCAAAUUUCAAAACCUUUUUUUUUUCUUUCUGAAAUCAGGACCAGUGUGGAGAACUAGCAAGGAUUGGAGAAACAGAUUUUUGGGCGUCACUUGACCACAGAUUGUUGAUUGCUCAAAUGUGUAGAAUUGGCCAUCUUAAAUGUCAAAAUGAUUUAUCAAUUGGGGUUUUUUUAGAAACGUUUAUGUUUGUCAAUAGAGACAGAAGUCAGAGAACAUAAACCUUUCUCAGCAAAUUGAAAUUCUCAGUGCAUGCUCUGUUCUUCCAUGGCUUUCAAACCUUCUCUGCCACGGUGAAAUGGAUCGAUAGAGAUAGUUUAGGCCGUUCCAUUUGUUUGAUGAAGCAUUCGUUCUAGGGAUUCUGUAUAUUCAUAACAAAAUCACUAGAAUGAUUCUUAGAAAUUCAUCACUGCUAAAGGCAAUGGGUUCAGCAUAAUAACUUCUUAGUCUUGCUUCUUGGUCCUUUAUUUUCUUUGCAUAAUACUCCAAGUUUACCUGGGUUCUACAGAGAAAAUCUCGUAGAUACCUCUUUUUGUGGUCUUCCAUGGCAUUUAAGUGCUGCUUUCCAUGGUGAAGUGGGCCUAUAGAGACUACCUGAGGUGUGUAGGCUUUGUCAUUUCCACGCCGUAAUCGCUCAGGAACUCUGUAGAUACACCUUCAAGGGGGACAAGGGAGACAAACUAUCCAAUUCCUUGCGCCUUACAAAUAGAUCGCAUGGGUUUUCUAUUUCAUCUGCAGCUUCAUCAAUUCCUUCCAUUUUUCUCCUGAUCAUCAUGCGCGGUGAUUCAAAUAUUUCAUAAUGAACAUUGAAAUGAGAUGCUACAAGCAAACUUAUGAAAAGAAACAGAAAUACCAAAAAGACAAAUCAAUGUAGAUGGUUUAGAAAAUCUAAACAUUGCAAUUAUACUCCUUUGCCCAACUUCUAGGAGCAAACGUACACAAAGACCUUAUUGCUUCCAACUUUUCCAACAGAAUUUCAUAUGAAUUGCUCCAAGUGAAAUCCGUAUGAAAAAUCGGUAGUUGGAUUUUCAUCCUGCUUUAAUAUGAUUAUUUAACUUCUAACAAAAAAACUCUUAUUACUUGAGCAAGUAAAAUACUAUUCCAGGUUUCUCCUAGUUCUAUAUGCGCUUAUAAUUGGUAUACUCUAUAAAUACCAUAAUCUGAAUUUCUCUGUUUUGAUUACUUUAAUUUAUUACUUAUGUUUUAAUUAUUGUUUACUUAGUGAAUUAUUAGUAUUUAAGAGAAGGCCUUCCAUCGAUUAGGCACCACGUGUCUAUAAUAAGUAAAGCCGUCCGGCUAUACUUAAAAAAAAAAAAAAUUGUAGUAUAGCCGACCGGUAUAGCCGCGCGGCUAUACUAUUUAAUACAUUAUAUUUAAACGGUAUAGCCGCGCGGCUAUACUAUUUAAUAAAAUAAAAAACAAAAGAAAAAGAAAAAUUACCCUCCUAUUUCAUUAGUUUGUACUUUAUAGAUACUAGCCCCUUGACACAUGCUCACGCAUGUGCCAAUUGGUUUUCUUUUUCUUUUUUAUUUUUAUUUUUAGAAUUAAGAAAAAAUAACAGGAUAGUUAUGUUCCAUAAAAGUAGGACCUAUUAUCUUAUUUUGUUUUUAAUUUUAAUUUUUUUAAUAUUAAAAAAAUAUGAAUUUACGAUAUUAUCCUCAUUUAAUUAAUAAUUUCAAUUCUUAAUGUUUGAAUUAACAAAGGGCAUUUUCUGGUAUUUUGAAUGUUUCACCAUUCUCUGCCUUUUGCUUUAUAUAUAUAGAUUAAUUUGCCAGUUUCAAGAUAUCCAAAGUACAUAUUAGACUUUCACUAUAUAAAUUUCAAUAUAUAUUUUUUAUAACAUGUGUUGUUCUUAUUCAAUAAUAUGUGAGAAUUAUUUGUAUAAUACGUGAAUUUUGUGUGUCUUACUGAAUUUUUUUAAAUACGUGUAUUAAACGUUACAAAUACGUACAUAUAUGUACAACACGACUAUUGUAAGUUUGCUAUAUAAAAAAAAGUGAGAUGUAUCUAGAACACGAAUGUAUUAUCGAAAAAUAUAUAUGUAUGUAUAUAUAUAUAUAUAUAUGUAAAAGCCUAUAGCCUCUCACCUAUACUAUUUAUUAAAGACAAUUUAAAAAUUACAACAACAAAAAAACCAGUACAGCCACAAAGCUAUACUAUUUUAAAAAAAAAAAAUAGAAAAAAUAUCAAGUACUACACAGGGCAAAGGCCCAGUGUAAAAUAGUAUAGCCGUACGGCUAUACGUUUUUAAGAAGAAUUUAAAAAACUAAGUAUAGCUCACCGACUAUACUAUUUUUUAAUAUAAAAAAACAACCCCAUCCAUUAGGCGCCACGUGUCAACAGAAGUUUAUUUUUAAAAAAAAAAAUUAAAAGACAAGGAGUAUAGCCGGGUGGUUGUACUAUUUUUUUAUUUUAAAAAGAAGACAGUCCAUCGAUUAGGCGCCACGUGUCCAUAAUAAGUACAGCCGCUCGGCUAUAUGUUGGAUAUUUUGAAACUAGCAAAUUAAUAUCAAUAGCCGGUCGUAACCUAUGCUGUCCACGUCACUCAUGUUUUACCAGAGUUAAAGCAUCCACAAUGAGCUCCCCAAACCAUCUCUUUAGACAAAUUUUAGGGAGAAAUUGGAAAAGUACAACUCCAACCAUGCUCCCUAUCCACCAACUAAAAUAGGGAGACCUCUAGGAGCUCCUAAAUCUGAGGAGAGGGAAAGGACUCUUAGUGACUCCCUAUAAUUUAAUGUUGCUUUGUUUUAUGCAUAUUUUAAACUUUUAAUUAAAUCAAAUUAUUAUUUUAUAUUAUUUUGUAUACAGAUGGACCAAUUAUAUUAAAUUAAAAAAUAAUUAAAGUAUUUGUGACUCUCUAAACUAAGGAGUAUGAUUAGAGUUCAAAUUUUAUAAAAAGCUCUUAAAAUAGCUUUUGUGUGUUUUUAGCUAAAUUUUAACUAAAAAAUUUGAAGAUUCUUUAUUUGGGUUUCUUUCAAGACGAAAACCAUAUCCACAACAGACAUCUUUGGCUGUUCAUCACAAUUGAGAGACAAUGAAGAAGACAUAAGGGAGAGGCUGCCAAAUACUUAUCACCUUAGCCACCACCAACACCACAAGACCAAUAUGUGUAGGCCAGGAGGCUUUCCAAUUUUAAUAUAUAUAUAUAUAUAUAUUAAAAAAUAAAAUAAAAAUCAAUCUAUUAUCAUAUAUAUUAUAAAAUAAAGAUUAUUGCUCCAUCCUCCAUGCACUUGCGUGCCCUCUUACAAAGUAUGAAGUAGAUUUUGUUAGCUGGAUUUAUAAGAUCUUUUGUUUUUUGGAAAUUUUCUGAAAUAAGGAAAAUCAAGUAAAAUUAAUAAAGCAUAAAUUGGAAAGGGAAAAUAUCUAGAGGAUGCAUUGUAGGAUUGCUCAAGCCAAUAAUUGUACCCUCUAAAUAUAUAGGGACAUAUUUUUUUUGUUUUCAUGACAUGUCGUCCUAAAAUUAUUGUUCUUAGCGGGCUCUCCACCCCCUCUCGAUUGAAAACCUAUUGUGUAAAUCUUCAAUCCUGAAUUAGAAAAGUACAACUCCAACCAUGCUCCCUAUCCAUCUCCUAAAAUAGGGAUACCUCUAGGAGCUCCUAAAUCUGAGGCGAGAGAAAGGACUCUUAGUGUCUCUUUAUAAUUUAAUGUUGCUUUGUUUUAUGCAUAUUUAAACUUUUAAUUAAAUCAAAUUAUUUUUUUAUAUUAUUUUGUAUACAAAUGGACCAAUUAUAUUGAAUUAAAAAUAAAUUAAAGUAUUUAUGACUCUCUAAACUAGGGAGUAUGAUUGGAGUUCAAAUUUUAUAAAGAGCUCCUAAAAUAGCUUGUGUGUGUAGGGGUCUUUUUCUUCUGGCAACUACAGAUGGGUUGGGCUACCGUAAGGAGCAAACUGAAGAAAAUAUCCCCUGUGUCUGAGUUCAAAGAUUCGGCCCCAAAAUAUUUCGAAAAGGCAGUAAAGCCUUAGGAAACACCUUAGUUACCUUCACCAACGAAAAUGACGGCUGCUUACAGGUAGAUUCUUAGUGCUUACAGAUGAAUUCUUAGCUUAGCAUGAGGAGAUCGUGGCAUGGAAGCAAAGUUAGCAUGAGUUUAGCACUAAAGAGAAAAUUAUGUGUUCUUGGGAGGAAGAAGGGGUGUCCAGGUAAAUGGGAAAAGGUUUUGCAAGUAGAUUUGGCUAAGAGAGAAGGGAGAGAGAGAAGAGGGUGGCUAGAGUGCUUCUUCCGGCAGCUUGACAGUGACUCUGUCAAAUGUUAGAGCAAUCUGCCAUAAGAGGGAAAAUGGGGAAGAAGGAUGAACAGUGCACAAAAUUGCUAGGUUUUUGCAAGUAAGAGAGGAAGCUUGCUCUCUGGAUGUGGAUGAUCCGUUGGGUAGAAGAGGCCCCAUUUUAUAGCCGCUGGAAACUAUCAUUUCUCAAGAAACCCUAAUAGUUUCUACCCAAUUUGGUCAAGCUUUUCCCUUCCUUUCUCAUCUCCUCCCUUGACUUUUCCUAUCUUGGUGAAAUUUCCUCUGUCUAUUUGCACAAAAUCAGGAGCUCAAGGCCUCCCUUUCCCGCAACUGUUCAAUGGGAGACUCCAUUCUUAGCUAUUUUUCUUCUUCUUUCCUUCCUCCUUCCCUGACCAAAUCUGAUGAAGGAAAGCAAAUAGGUGCACACAUUGGUUUGAAGGGUGCUUCUCCUUCUAGCAGCUUACAUGCCAAUAUCCCUUGGGUCCUUGCAUGUUUUUUGCUUUGAAACUUGUUUCUUCCUUCCCGUCAACUCACGUGGUCUUCCAUGCUUCUUCAUGGCUUUAUCUUUCAGCCAAAAGAUGGAGUUUUUACUGCUUGCUACUUUUAAUUGUAUGGGUCUUCUAGGAUAGGAAGUCAACCUACCAAACAAAUGGGCCACCUUUAUCAAAUAUUGGGCUGUUGGGGUUAGUUUUAGUGGGCCAUUUUGACUGGGCUUUUUGGUUGGGUUAUUUAAGUUAUUUUCCCUUUUGUGCUCACCCAUGUAUUUAGGCCUAAGAAAUGGGCUUGGGCUCCGAGUCUCCCAAGCAACCCGGAACCUCCAUUUCUUGGCCCAUUAAUGGGCCUCAUGACAACCUAUUACCAUCCAUACCACAACCCACUCAAGCAAGCCCCGGGCAUUUGAAUGGCUUUGGCCCACUUUAGGCUUGUAGUGUGAUUGGGUGUGGCAUAACGAUUUCUCGCUUGGCAUGGCAUGUUGCUUGGCAUGUUUUUUCAUUACGAUGCUUGAUGGAUUUGUAGAGCUACCUAUUUUUAUGAUCUUAAUCUUGAUUCCUAGCAUGACAAAUUUAUUUAUUUGGCAUGGCAUGCGGAGCGUGACUUGUGCGUGGCGAGUUUUGUAUGCUCCAACUUGGGCCUUUCCUAAAUAAUGUAUCAUUUUGGGUUAUGAAUUCUUUCGGGCCCAACCGUGAAUUUUUUGGGUUUCAACAGUGUGUUUUUAGCUAAAUUUUAACUAAAAAAUAGGGAGCAUGAUUGUAGAUCAUCUUAUAUACCUUAAUUUGAAGAUUCUUUAUUUGGGUUUCUUUCAAGAUGAAAACCAUAUCCACAACUGGCAGACAUCUUUGGCUGUUCAUCACAAUUGAGAGACAAUGAAGAAGACAUAAGGGAGAGGCCGCCAAAUACUUAUCACCUCAGCCACCACCAACACCACAAGACCAAUAUGUGUAGGCCAGGGGGCUUUCCAAUUUUAAUAUAUAUAUAUGGAGUGAAAAAAAUAAAAUAAAGAUUAUUGCUCAUCCUCCAUGCACUUGCAUGCCCUCUUACAAAGUGUGAAGAAGAUUUUGUGUGCUUCAAGUCAUUGACUAGAGCUGAAACAUGGUUAGCUGGAUUUAUAAGAUCUUUUGUUUUCUGGGAAUUUUCAGAACCAAGGAAAAUCAAGUAAAAUUAAUAAAGCAAAAUGGAAAGGGAAAAGAUCUAGAGGAUGCAUUGUAGGAUUGCUCAUGCCAAUAAUUGUACCCUCUAAAUAUAUAGGGACAUAUUUUUUUUGUUUUCAUGACAUGUUGUCCUAAAAUAUUUGUUCCUAGCGGGCUCUCCACCCCCUCUCGAUUGAAAACCUAUUGUGUAAAUCUUCAAUCCUGAACGAUGCUCCUAAAACUCAAGUGUCCCAGGCCAAUUAUUGCUCUCAUACCACUUGUUGCAAUACACAUCCACUCAUUCUCAGGGAAAGAAACCCAUCGAUAUUAUCUCAAAUUUAACCACUUUAGUCUAUUAUGAUUAACUAUGUAUUUUAUGGAUCAAUGCAGUUGUGAGGUUUUAUACCCAAUUAGAUCGACCAAUACAGAGAUCACAUGUGGACUGAAAAGCGCCAUCGGUAGGGGAGUGUUUGGCACCCUUUACUGCCGAGUGCAACACAAGACCCCUUACCAGGAACUUAUCUACUAGGACACGUGAAGCCACCACAAGUAAUAUCAACAGUCCCACAUCGAAGUUUAACAUAACAUGUACACUCCCCAGGACUGAUAAAAGUGGGCACAAGUCCCAAAAAUGGGGGAACUUGGACUUUCAGCAAUUCAUCCAUUAUUAUGUCCAAAUUACUAUACACUCCGUACUUAUUCUUACUUAAGCAUUGGAGAGCCUUCGGCCGGUACCACACCAGUGCCUAAGGGCUUACCGAGCGUUCUCUAUCUUGCAUAUUGAUCGCUCUACUGAAGCCCAUAAAGAGUUAAAGGUCAAGACAUCACUAAGUUGAGCCCAAAAGUGCUGAACCACAUCAAAAAUAUGUAUAGAUUGAAAAAAUAAAAUAAAAAUCAAUCUAUUAUCAUAUAUAUUAUAAAAUAAAUAUUGGAUAAAUUACUCAAAUGGUCCUCAAACUUAUACUCGAUUUACAUUUUGGUCUCUCAAUUAAAUUAUUUGUUCAAAUGGUCCAUCAACUCUAUAUUAUUUCUGCAAAAUCUACAAAGUGGUGGGAGGCAGACCAACAAAAAAAAUUAGCGAAGGCUUAUAACUCUGGUAAAACAAGAGUUACUUGGAUAGAAUAAUGUUACGUCGUACUGAAGAUUUUUGGGUUUCUUUAAUUGGUUAAGUGAAGAUUCUUUAUUUGGGUUUCUUUCAAGAUGAAAGCCAUAUCCACAACCACAACCACAACUGGCAGACAAUCUUUGGCUGUUCAUCACAAUUGGGCGACAAUGAAGAAGACAGAAAUUGGAGUACUGUAUGUUAUCACCCACACCACAAGACCAAUAUAAGGAGGAUGGGGAGGCUGCGGAAUACUUAUCACCUUAGCCACCACCUACACCACAAGACCAAUAUGUUGUAGGCCAGGAGGCUUUCCAAUUUUAAAUUAGAUAAAUCGGAAACUGUUUCGAUAUCCAAUUGUAUUCUAUAAAAUCAAUGAACACGGUGCUUCAAGAAAGUAAUAAAAUUUCAAUAAUUCAAUUGAGUGGUCAAAUUCAAGUGAUUUUUUGUAGUGAUGAUCUUUGAAUGAGUAUCUAUAAAAGAGACGGUUUGGAUUAGUGAAAUACAAUAUGGAGUGGGCCCUACCAGCAAUCCACGACAAAAUGUCUGCAAGCUUUCGUAAUAUAAGGAGGAUGGGGAGGCUGCGCAAUACUUAUCACCUUAGCCACCACCUACACCACAAGACCAAUAUGUUGUAGGCCAGGAGGCUUUCCAAUUUUAAUAUAUAUAUAUAUAUAUAUAUAUAUAUAUAUAUAGGGAUGUGAUUUCUCUACUCCCCUUUUCUCUACUUAUACUCCCUUUUGCUUUUAAAUACUUUUUAAUCAAUUUUUUUUCCGCUUUCCUAUUAAUAUUCUACCAUUUCCCUACAUUAAUUUCUUUUUACUUCACUUUUAUAUUAGUUCUUUUUCUUUAUACUUAAUUUUUCAACUUGCACUCCAUUUUCAUUAUUUUUUUCCUAAUCGAGUAAGAAAUUAAGUUUUUUUUCCCCAUUUAAUACUGAAAAUGGAGUGUAAGUUAGAAAAUUAGGUAUAAAGAAAAAGAAAUAAUAUAAAAGUAAAGUAAAAAAGAAAUUAAUGUAGGGUAAAGGUAGAAUAGAAAAGAGAAUGAACAAAAUUGAUAAAUAAAUAAAAAAGGUUUAAAAAGCAAAAAGGAGUGUAAAUGGAGAAAAGGGGAAUGAGGAAAUCAGCUCCAUAUAUAUAUAGAUUGAAAAAAUUAAAAUUAAAAUCAAUCUAUUAUCAUAUAUAUUAUAAAAUAAAGAUUAUUGCUCCAAGGAAAUGACAUCUUUUGUUUUCUGGGAAUUUUCUGAACCAAGGAAAAUCAAAUAAAAUUAAUAAAGCAUAAAUUGGAAAGGGAAAAGAUCUAAAGGAUGCAUUGUAGGAUUGCUGAUGCCAAUAAUUGUACCCUCAAAUUAUACAUGGACAUAGGGGUGGGCAUUCAAAUAGGCAAACUAGAAAUCCGAGCUGAACCGCACCUAGGAAAACCGGAAAAAAAACCGAGUUGACCAAAAAGUCAACAACUGGUCAAAAAUCGAACCGGACCGAUUUGGACUGGUUUUGGAUUCAGUUUAUAUGCAAUGCUACAUUUUUAGUCUCAUAACUAAUAUUUAUCCAAGUUCAAUUUCAAAACAUCUUUCUUUUUUAGCUUUAAUAUUUAUUUUUAUAUGAAAUUAAAUAAUUUAUUAAUUUUCAAGUAAAUAAAAUAAAAUUUCAGUUGAAAUUUAUAUUAAAAAAAUAAUUUUAAUAAUCCAGUUCAAAACCAAACCGGACCAUCCAGCUGUGAGGUACAUUUCUCCCACAUGCCACAAUUGUAUAUUCACAAUUACGUCUGAUACAUCACAUCAUGCCACUUGCCUCAAAUGAAUUUAAGUGAGUGUGGCAGUGGAAAGUAAUUAAGCUCUAUAUUGGUGGGUGGACUGUUACUUCUGGGUUCCCCUCAUCAUUCGUCUAUAAAAUGGUGAAGGCAGUUGCUAUUGUUACCAUAAGAGCCAGCUCCGACUUCCUUUAAUUUCUUGCUUCAUAUCCACUAGCUACAUCUGUUACCAAGUUAAUUUCAGUCCUAAUGGGGUUUCAUCUCCCACUCAUCUUUGCUCUUCUCAGUGUAAGCUCUGCAAUUUGAUUAACUUUUCCAUUCUCUCUCAUUGUACUCUAUAUAAACGAAAGUUUUGUGUUCCUAUAAUUCUCUCCGAUUUUAUUUAGUACGUACUUAAGUGUCGUCCACUAAUUAAUUACACUUUGUGAUUUGAUUUUAAUUUGAGUUCGAAUUAAUGUUGCAGCUAGCAGCAGUGGCACUGGCAAACCAUGCUGCUCAACCAGCACCUCAACUUUACUGGAACUCCGUCCUGCCAAACACACAGAUGCCAAGAUCUAUCAGUGAACUUCUGCAUCCUGGUUUGUGUUGAGCUCUUUAGAAUCUUAGAUAUCUCUUCUACCUGCCAUUUUACUAAAAUAUGUUCCACCACAUAUUUAUCAGUUAACCACUGUUAUUACAUGAGUGACACAUAUUCACAAAUCGGCUGAUCACUUAUUUUCCAUUAUGACGUUGAUAUAUAAUUUGCAGACUCCACAAAUGAAGAAAAGAGCACAAAUGACGUUGGCAAACCUGAAACUUUCCCAUUGGGCAAUAAACAUUACUCCAGUCAAAAACAUUAUGGAAGAGGCAAACCUGAAACUUUCCCAUUGGGCAAUAAACAUUACUCCAGUCAAAGACAUUAUGGAAGAGGCAAACCUGAAACUUUCCCAUUGGGCAAUAAACAUUACUCCAGUCAAAGACAUUAUGGAAGAGGCAAACCUGAAACUUUCCCAUUGGGCAAUAAACAUUACUCCAGUCAAAAACAUUAUGGAAGAGGCAAACCUGAAACUUUCCCAUUGGGCAAUCAGCAUUACUCCAGUCAAAAAAAGUAUGGAAGAGGUGCUUCUCCAUCCGACAAUCAACCACCAAUUCCAUAGAAAUUCAAACACGGCUACUUUCUUGCCACGAGAAAGCGCUCAAUCGAUCCCCUUCUCCUCUAACAAACUACCAGAAAUUUUCAACCAUUUUUCAGUGAAGCCAACAUCUGAGGAAGCCAAAACAAUUAAGCAAACAAUCGAAGAGUGUGAAGCUCCAGACCUUAAGGGAGAGGAAAUAUAUUGCGCCACAUCUUUAGAAUCAAUGGUUGAUUUUAGCACUUCGAAGCUUGGAACAAGAAACGUUGAAGCAAUCUCGACGGAGGUAUUGGAAAAAGGAGCCACCAUGUCCAUCCAAAACUAUACAACAAUGCCGGGACUGAAGAAGUUGGCAGGUGACAAAGUCGUUGUGUGUCAUAAGCAGAACUAUCCCUAUGCUGUGUUUUUCUGCCAUGCAAUAAAACAUACAGCAGCUUAUGCUCUCUCCCUGAAAGGCGAUGAUGGGGAGAAGGUUAAAGCAGUAACCAUCUGCCAUCUAGACACAUCAGAAUGGGACCCAGAGCAUAUGUCCUUCAAAAUCGUCAACGUUAAGCCCGGAACCAUUCCCAUCUGCCAUUUCAUUUCCACUGAUGCUAUUGCCUGGGUUCCGAACCACAAAUCUGCAUGAUCAUCACUUAGCACUAGUACUGUGCGUAUAAUAUGCCUGUAUAAUUAUCUCCCUACUUAUUUCUGCCUGUUCAUCAUGUGGUGUAAGAUAUAUGUUGAGAUGAAGUUUUUGGGAUUAGUGGUCGAAAUUAACCCGAUCAUGUUUUCUCUUGUAACUAUAUAGACUUCAACUUGUACUCAUAAUAAAGCAUGCUAUAUUUAUGAAGAGAUAUUAAUCUUCAGGCAAAUAGAUAUUAUGAAAACAUAUAUAGCAAUUUAUCCAGAAGAAAUAUUAUGAAAUGAAAAGAAUAAAAAGUAAAAAAACAGAAGGAAAGGAAUUCGCACCUGCUAUGUAUGAAAGGACCAAGAUUGUUUUCCCUUUGGUUAAUGACUAGAAAAGCUCACUUGCAGAUUGCUUUCUCUGACCGUAGAUGCAACAGAAAUUUUCUCUUAAUAAUAGCACAAUGAUCGGGUAAUUGUAAGAACAAGUUGAUUUAAAAUUCCUUGACCCAAAAAAAAAAAAAAAAUCAUUUCAAAUUCAGGUCAACCCAUAGAUUUCUUGCCUUUUUCUUCUUCAUCACGUUGGGCUUGUCUUCUUCUUGAGGAUUGUAUAGGCCCAGGAAAUGCUUUGAGGUAGUUUUUGGCCUUGGAAGUUGGGACCCAACCCAACUUCACAAAAAGAAAACAGAUUUGCCAAAAAUCAAAUUUCAAGUCUCUCCUCAGAUCACUAAUACAGAUCAAAUUUUGGAUUUGAUGAACUAAAGUGGUUUUACUUUCUCUGUCAGUGUUUGAUGACUUAAUUUGUUAUUUACUUCUUUUUUUUUUUUUACUUGAUCUUUGUAGGGGUUUUUUUCUUCCGGUAACUUAAACGGGCUGGGCUGCCGUAAAGGGUAGAUUGAUGAAAUUGUCUCCUUUGUCUGAGUUCGAAAAUCAAGCCCCAAAAGCGCUUCGAAAGGGCAGUAGAGCCUUAGGAAGCGUUCUAGUCAUCUUCACCAACUAAAACAACAGCAACUUACAGAUGAUUUCUUAAGGCUUACAGAUAAAUUUUCUAGCUUGGCAUGAGAGGCUUGUGACAUGGAAGCAAAAUCAGCAUGAGUUUAGCACCAAAGAGGAAAAUAUGGCUUCCUAGGGAGAAAUGGGAGUGUUUAAGGUGAGGAAGAAGAGGUUUGCAGGCUGAUUUGGCUGAGGAGAGAGAAAGAAAGAACAAUGUUCUUCCAGUAGCUUGACAAAGCUUCUGACAGAUGUGAAAGUCGUCUGCCAUAAGAGGAAAAUGAAGAAGAAUGGUGAAUAGUGCAUGAAAUUGCUGGGUUUUUGCAGGUAAGAGAGAAAGCUUGCUCUCUGAAUUUGAGUUGGUUUUUGGUUGGGUAGAAGAGGCCCCCUUUUAUAGCUGCGGGAAACCAUCUUUUUUCAAGAAACCCUAAUGGUUUCUAUCCAUUUUGGCCAAGCUUUUCCCUUCAUUUCUCUUCUCCUCCCUUGACUUUUCCUAUCUUGGUGAAAUUUCCUCUGCCUAUUUGCACAAAAUUAGAGAUUUUGAGGAGCUCAAGACCCCUUUCCCGCAGCUGCCUCAGUGGAGAAUCCCCAUUUUCAGUCAUCUUUCUUCCUUCUUUUCUCCCAUCUUCCAAGGUUAGGUCUGAUGAGGGAAAGAAAUGGGUAUGCACACUGGUUUGAAGGGUAUUUUUGCUUGAAACUUGUUCUCUCCCAUGUGCUGGAGCUUCCCAGCAACUUACACACAUGGAUAUUUUGGCUUUCAUCGUGGCUUUUGUUUUCAGCUAGGUGCUGGAGAUUUCGCAGAUAUUUUCAUGAGUUGCUUGGGCCUUCUAGGACAAUAGGUUGGUUUAUCAAGUGAAUGGGCUAACUUCAUCAAUUGUUGGGCUAUUUUGGUUGAGUUAAUGGACUAUUUUGGUUGAAGUAAUGGGCUAUUUUGGUUGAAUUAAUGGGCUAUUUUUCUCUCUUUGUGCUCACCCACAUAUUUGGGCCUAAGAAAUGGGCUUGAGUUCCGGGGCUCCCAAGCAACCCCGGGACUUCCAUUUCUCGGCCCAUCAAUGGGCCUCAUAUCAACUUAUUACCAUCCAUAUCACAACCCACUCAAGCAAGCCCUGGGCAUCUUGCGUGGCUUGGGCCCACUUAAGCUUGUAGCGUGACGUGUUGCUUAUUUGCUUGGCAUGGCAUGUGUGCAAGCGCAUAUGACGAACUUUAGCGUGCCCAAAUUGGGUUUAUUCUCGGUAAGGUAUCGCAUUGGGCCGAGAAUUUAAUUGGGCAGAACUGUGGAUUUUUGGGCCUCAACAAUCUUAUAUAUAUUGGUUUUCUUUUUUUCCUUAAUAUUCACCACCUUUCUGUUGCAUAAGUAUUUCAGUCUUAACGGGUUUCCAUCUACCACUCAUCUUUGCUCUUUUAAGUGUAAGCUUUUUUUUUUUUUUUUUAAGCACAAGAUUAGAGGGGAGGGGGAUUUCUCAAUGUAAGCUUUGCAGUUUCAUAAUUAAUAUUUCCAAUAUCUCACUGUUAGUAAAAUAUGGAACAGGAAAAGUAUGAAUAAAAUACACACAUGUUUUAUUUAGCAAAAUUUUGACAAGAUACAACUGAAAAGUUUGGCCACUAUAUAAUAUUUUGAUAUAAUUUCUACACUUCUUCUCAAAAGAUUAGAUCACUUCACAUCUUGUGUAUGUGAAAACUAAUGUAAAAAGUUGAAACUUUAUCGUAAAACCUCGACAAAAAUGAGCUCUACUAGAAAAUGUUCAAUUUGGAUUCGUUGAUUUAAAUGGCAAUUUGACACUUGAUAGAAAUUUUUACAUACAUGUGUUAGUGUUUGAUCACUUCACAUGUUACUUACUAUAUUUAUUCCACUCAAGUUAGGUAAAUAUUAUUAUCAAACAUUUCAAUUAAUUUGUGAUUUUUUUAUUAUUUAAUCAAUUAUGAAUUAAUGGAUUCUUCUUGUUGUUUUGAAGACCAAUAAAAAAAAAAGGGUAAGGAUGGCUUAUAACUCUGAUAAAACAACAGUGACGUGGACAGCAGAUGUUACACCGUACUGAAGAUUUUUGAAGAUUCUUUAUUUGGGUUUCUUUCAAGAUGAAAACCAUAUUAUCCACAACCACAAUGAAGAAGACAGAAAAUGGAGUAAUUCAGAUGUUACCAGCCAUCCACGACAAACUGAAGUCUGCAAAGCAUUCGUAAUCUAAAGGGAGACUUUGGAAAAGCCCAAAGGAGAGAGAAAAUUUUUAAAAGAAGCAAAAAUGGACAAAAUUGCCCUUAUUUAUUUUUUGAUUUCCUAAGAAAUCCUUUACAUUUGCAUGUCUUUGGUUUGAAAGUUGAGAGGUUAUUCUGUCUUUUUUCAAAAAGCUUUGGCUUUUUCCAAAAGUGAAAGUUUUUUUAUGGGUAAAACCUAAAUUUACUUAAUCCCUAAAAAGGAUGGGGAGGCUGCGCAAUACUUAGCCACGUGUAGGCCAGGAGGCUUUCCAAUUUUAAUAUAUAUAUAAAUUGAAAAAAUAAAAUAAAAAUCAAUCUAUUAUCCUAUAUAAAAUAAAGAUUAUUGCUUCCAUGGGCAGUGCUAUGCACAGGACAGUGCCUGCCCAGCACAAAUUUUUUUUAAAUAAAAAAAAAAAAUCUACAUAUGUUAUAAGCUCAUCCAAAAAAAUAAAAUAAAAUAAAAGUAAAUUCUACAUAUAUGUUGCCCAUCUAGGUGGUUCCAUAUCUUCUCUCUCCUUCUCUUUUGGCUAUUAGACUUCUUGUUUCUCUCUCUCUCUUUGCUACCUCACAUCAGCAAGUUUCUCCCUCUCUUUUUUUGGGGUCAAAUUCUUCCUCUAUUGACAAAAUCUUCUAUUAUCUUGGGUGGGCAACUUGGCAACAACAUCUUCUCUUCUCCUUUUGUCAACAACAAGUAUUAUUCUCAUUCUCUCAUUUGCUAUAUAUCUUUAAUUAUAGUUUUAAUUUAAAAUUGAGUAUUCUAGGGUUUAAUUAGGGAUGAAUUAUAAUUUUAGAAUUUUGUUGAAAUUAAUUAAGGCUUCGAUUAGGGGUGAAUUAUUCUACUGCUUUGGUUUGGAAUUUUGUUAAAAUUGAGUAUUAUAGGGUUUAAUUAUGGAUGAAUUAUAAUUUUUGAUUUUGGUAUUAUUGAGAUGUUAUUAUGAGAAUUUGUUUCAUUUUUUUAUUGGUAUAUUUGAUUAAAAUUCUUUCUACAUAUUAUUCAUAGGCUAUCUUUUAUUAUGUCGGAUCACAAUCGGAAUCCCAAGAGAACAAAGAAUUUGAAUAGUGUUGUUUUGUAUUGCAUUGCAUUUACUUUUGGUUUUAGUUUUGCUUUUAGUGUAAAUUACUCAAAUGGUCCUCAAAUUUGUACCCGAUUUACAUUUUGGUCCAUAAACUAAAUUAUUCAUUCAAAUGGUGCACCAACUCUUUAUUAAUCAGUGCUUUGGUCCUACCGUUAUGUUUUCUAUUAAAUUUAGUCAUGUGAGCAGCACAUGCUACAUUUGUAGGGGUAAAUAAGACUUUUGACCACUUUAUCACCUAUGUAUCACCACUUUAUAACCUAUUUGGAGAACAUAGGUCAGUUAUGGACGGUUUUACAAUUAUAUUUGACGGCAACAUUAACAUAAUGUAACAGUGGGAUCAAUGGAGCGAUUAAUAUAGAGUUGAUGGACCGUUUGAACGAAUAAUUUAAUUGAGGGACCAAAACGUAAAUUGAGUAUAAGUUUGAGGACCAUUUGAGUAAUGUACCCUUCGCUUUUAUAUUUGUUGAACUUUUAUUUAUGGAUAGAUAUGCAUUUGAGGGUAAGACCCAUUAUGUUCCCCCUGACUUGGUGUAUCUUUUUAUGUUUAUUAAUGAAAUUCACUCGAACUGUUGAGUUUAGUAUGUAAGUUUUGCCUAACCGGCUUUUGAAUCCUAGAACCGCCACUGUUGCUCCAUCCUCCAUGCACUUGCAUGUGCUCUUACAAAGUGUGAAGUAGAUUUUGUGUGCUCCAAGUCAUUGACUAGAGCUGAAACAUGGUUAGCUAGAUUUAUAAGGACCCAUCUCUCUAUUUCCUAGACAUAUACCCAUCUCUCUAUAAAUCUAUAUGUAAAACUCAAUUUCAAACUUAAAUGACCAGUAAGAUAUAAGAGGUCAUAGUAUUCCUAUGUUUUUACAUCGUUGCCACCAGACUUCUUAUUUUAUUUAUAAUUUAUUUCAAGCAUUUCAUUAACUGCCAUAAUUGUAAUUAAUACUCCAUAUUAAUAGCAUAUCAAUCACCCCAUUUCUUUUGAUUGCCAUUCCCUCUAACAUAUCGCCCCUUAAAAUUGAAAACCAAAAAAAAAAAAAAUGUAAAUUACAUAUCCAAUAAUGUACCUAUGAAAAAUAUAAAUAUAAAUAUAUACGUAUAAAAAUAUAGGUUUAUUAUUUACCAAAUAAAAAAUAUAAAAAAACUAGGUCAGUUGCUUUGUAAUUGAAAUUUCUAUACAUUUUCCACAAAUUAAAAAUAGGUACACAAUAAUUUAUAGAAAAUAUAGGUGCAUUAUUUAUCCAUAGGUAAAAAUACCUAUAAAUGCACAUAGGUAAAUUAUUUACCCAUAUAUUAUUUUUUUGCUAAGGAUUUACCUUAGUUUUUAGUAGAUUAAUUUACCUACCUAGAGGCAUAGGUAGCUUAAAAAAAUUGUAGCACCUUAGUUGGUUGCAUACUAAUUUACCUACCUAGAGGCAUAGGUUGCUAAGAAAAAAUGUAGGUAAAUUCAUGUACCUAAACACAUAGGGGUCAAAUAGAGAAUAACAUGUUAUUUCCCUUCGAACAAAUUAAUUUCAAACCAUAACAAUAAUUGAAUUCGGAAAUUGGUAUAAAUAAAAGGAAAUAAAUAAGCUAUCAAUUUGAAAAUUAAAAUAAGAAAUGAUCAAGUAGUCAUAUUUGAAAAAAAAGAAAAGAAUAUAUUCUUGGUUUUUAUAGGAACAACGUGUAUAUUCAAACCAAAUGGCAGUAACUACACCAAGCUUUAAUUACUUUUUUUUAAGGCCAAAAGUCACUUUUGGUCUCUGUAGUUUGACACUUCUAUUACUUUUGACGCUGUAGUUUCAAUUCCGUCAAUUUUGCCAUUGUAGUUUCAUAUUUGUAGCAAUUCAAGGACAUGUUAAUAUUAAUGUCAAUUUGUUUAAUGAUGCAAGGGGUAAUUUCGUCAUCCCAAAAUCCUUGAGCAUAAAAGCUUGUCUGAAAUUCUCCCCAUUUCAUAUUAGGGCUCGAAAUUCAACCACUAAUCCCAAUUUUUGAAGAACCCUAUACCCAAAUGACCAAUUUCAAGCCCUAAUAACAAAUUAGGGAAGUUUUAGAUGAGCUUUUAUGCUCAAGGAUUUUGAGUUGAAGAAAUUGCCCCUUGCACUGUCAAAGAAAUUGAUAGGAAUACUGACUUGUCCUUGAAUUGCUACAAAUACAAAAAUACAGGGUCAAAAUUAACAGAAUUUAAACUAUAUGGUCAAAAGUGGUUAAAGUGCCAAACUACAAGGACCAAAAGUGACUUUUAGCCUUUUUGUUUAAAUAAGGAAAAAACUUACCUAUUAAAUCCUUGGAAUCUAUACAAAAUUGAAACACAGUUAAUCAGCAUUGAAUUGCAGCUAAUUUCUUAAACAAGGGUAUUAUAGGAAUUUAAAAAGUAUAACAUUUAAUCCAUUGAGCUUGAUUAGGAAUCUUGAUGAGUUGGAUCCUAGUUAUAUAGUUUCUCUUAUAAAAAUCGGGUUUUAUUUAUAGACAAAUAAAACAAUGGGUUGUAGGUAAGAAAAUAUUAAUUUGAAGGGAAAGUGUCACAUCCUGGGAUCGGCUCCGCCGUAGCACGAUAUUGUCCGCUUUGGGCCCCCCUCUCUGCCCGCACGGUUUUGUUUCUGGGAGCUCACGAGCAACUUCCCAGUGGGUCACCCAUCCUGGGAUUGCUCUGGCCCCCAACUCGCUUAACUUCGGAAUUCCUAUGACUCCGAAGCCAGUGAGCUCCCAAAAGGCCUCGUGCUAGAUGGAUGCGGGUGUGUACAUAUAAGACACAUCACCCCCUCUCCGUUGGUUGAUGUGGGAUCUUACAGAAAGAGUCAAAUUUACUAAAUUAAUAAAGCAUAAAUUGGAAAGGGAAAAGAUCUAGAGGAUGCAUUGUAGGAUUGCUCAUGCCAAUAAUUGCACCCUCUCGAUAUUGAAAAACCUAUUGUGUAUUAUUAUCUUCAAUCAUGAAUGAUGCACCUAAAACCCAAGUGUCCCAAGCCAACCAUUGCGCUCAUACCACUUGUUGCAGUACACAUUCACCCGUUUUUAAAGAAAGAAAUUCUACCAAUCGAUAUUGUCUCAAAUUUAAUCACAUAGGUCUAUUAUGGUUAACCAUAUGUACUUUUAUCGGCCAUAUAGAGGUACCUUUUUCCAACGUGCAACAAUUGUAUUUGAUUCACAAUUAUGUCUGAUAUACAUCACAUCAUGCCACUUGCCUCAAAUGAAUUUAAUUGAGUGAGGCAAUGGGAAGUAAUUAAGCUCUAUAUUGGUGGGUGGAGUGUUACUUCUGGAACCCUCAUCAUUCGUCCAUACAAGGGAACAAUUCCCUUCCUUCUAUAAAAUGGUGAAGCCAGUUGCUAUUGUUUGUUAGAGUUUUAGGAUCUGAGUGUUAGAUUUUGUGAGAAGAGAGAAGAGAAUUUAGUGAAAACUUCCAAUACUGCUCUGCUAUACGUGUAGCAGAGAGAACAUUCUGUUUUGUUAUAUAUUUUCAGUACAACAACACACACUUGGUGUGAGAAGAAAAAUGACUGUUAUGCACAGUACCAGCUGGAUGCUUUCCAUCAAAGUAAUCUCAGCCAUUCACUAUCUAACCAAUCAAGCUAUGACACCUGGACUAAGUAUAAAGAAAUACAACUAAGCAGAAAACAAGACUCUUAAUCCUGAAAUCAACUUAAGCACUUAUAAUUCAACACUCCCCUUUAAGUCUUGAGGUGAUUUCACUCCAAGCAUGCCUCUGAGAUAAUUGAAUCUGUCUUUGGCCAGAGGUUUGGUAAAAAUGUCAGCCAAUUGUUCAUUUGUAGGACAAUAUUCCAGAUUGAUUACCCCUUCUUGCAAUGCAUCCUUGAUGAAGUGAUACCUCCUGUCAAUAUGCUUUGUCUUCUGGUGGAAUACAGGGUUUUUAGUGAUUGCAAUUGCUGAGAUAUUAUCACAAUGCAAUGGAGUAGCUUCAGUUUGAAGCUCUCUAAAGUCUUCUAGCACAAAACGGAGCCAAAUAGCUUGAGUAGUAGCCUCAGCUGCACUGAUGUACUCAGCUUCUGCAGUAGACAGUGCAACACAGUUCUGUUUCACUGAGGCCCAAGAAAAUACUCCACUUCCAAAACUAAACGCAUACCCUGAUGUGCUCUUGCAAUCACCAACUGAUCCUCCCCAAUCACUGUCACAGUAACCAACUAGAAUUGAUCUUUUGCCUUUCACAUAUUCAAGACCAUAGUCCAGAGUUCCUUUGAUGUAUCUCAAAACCCUUUUAGCUGUUCCAUAGUGUCUAUUUGUAGGACAGUGCAUGAAUCUAGCUAGCAAGCUUGAGGCAUACAUGAUGUCUGGUCUUGUAGCAGUUAAGUACAGCAAGCUACCAACAAUGCUUCUGUAUUGUUCUUCAUUUGCAGCUCAACUCCCAUCAUCCUUAGCUAGUUUCUCAGUGGCAACAAGGGGUGUUGUCACAGGUUUGCACUCAGUCAAACCAAACUUGCUCAACAAGGUGCUAGCAUAUUUCUUUUGAUGUAGAAAUAUACUAGACUCAGUCUGAAUAACUCCCAUGCCAAGAAAGUGAUGAAGUAAGCCCAAAUCAGUCAUCUCAUACUUAGCCAUCAUGUCUUCUUUGAAUUCAGCCAACAAUGCUUGACUGCUCCCUGUAUACACAAUAUCGUCUACAUAGAUAGACACAAUUAGAAUCUCCUUAUCUCCCCUUACUUUGGUAUAUAAGGUUGUUUCACUUAAGCUUUUCACAAAACCACAUUGAGUGAAGUAGCUGUCUAUCUCUCCAUACCAAGCCCUUGGGGCUUGCUUCAGACCAUAAAGGGCUUUAUGCAAACGAUAAACCUUGUCUUCUUUACCUUUAAUUACAAAACCUUCAGGCUGACUGACAUAAACUUCCUCUUGCAGCACACCAUUAAGGAAAGCAGACUUCACAUCAAGCUGGAACAAUUUCCAAUCCUUUUGAGCAGCUAGAGCAAUAAGUGUUCUAAUGGUGUCCAAUCUGGCUAUAGGUGCAUAAGUCUCAUUAUAAUCCAGUCCAGGCUUCUGAGCAUACCCCUUAGCCACUAAUCUUGCUUUAUUCUUUUGCACUGAGCCAUCCAAAUUCAGCUUUGUCUUGUACACCCACUUAACUCCAAUCACUGGUUUUUCAGUUAGUCUAUCUACCAAUUCCCAUGUUUCAUUCUUUUCAAUCAUCUGCAGUUCAUCUUCCAUAGCCUUAAGCCAAGAUUCAUCCUGAGCAACAUCAGCAUAUUUUUCUGGUUCCAUGAUACACAAGUUACACUGAGCUAGAACAUCAUCUAGCCUUCUCCAUUUUAGAGGGGUGUGAUCAUAAGCUUGAGUUCUCCUUUCUUCACUGCUUAUAUCACCUGGAGUUGAUGAAAUGCUCUCUUGCAUAUCCAAAGUUUGAGGUGUACCAGUAGAAUUCUCAUUAGAACUGUCAGAUUUCAAGUCCAAAUCAACUUGGUUUUCAAUUGAGUAUGUUGUCAUAACUGAACCAUUUUUGUUUGUCCAAUGCCAAGCAUUUUCUUCAUCAAAUGUCACAUCCCUUGAUAGUAAAAGCUUGUUAGAAACAGGAUCAAAAACUCUAUAUCCUUUUUCACAAGUUGCAUAUCCCACAAACACUCCCUUUGUACUCUUAGGAUCCCGCUUGUGUCUCAAUUCAGUUGGCACAUGAACAUAACACAGAGAACCAAACACUUUCAGAUGUGCAAUUCCAGGCUUCCUUCCACUAUAUGCUUCGAAUGGAGUAAUGUUGUUGAGAGCUUUGGUAGGACAUCUGUUCAGCAAAUAGAUAGCUGUAUGCACAGCUUCUGCCCAUAGGAAAUAAGGCAUUCCCUUCUCAUGUAACAUUGAUUUUGCCAUCUCAAUGACAGUUCUAUUCUUCCUCUCAACUACUCCAUUCUGCUGAGGAGUAUAGGCCAUUGUAAGCUGCCUUUGAAUGCCAUUAGCUUCACAAAACUCCAAAAAAUCAGUAGACAUAAACUCUCCACCCCUGUCACUUCUUAUGCACUGAACCUUGUGUCCAGUUUGUAAUUCAGUCAUGGACUUGAACUUCUUGAAACAAAAGAAGGCUUUUGACUUGUUUCUCAAGAAGUAUACCCAAAUCAUUCUUGUGAAAUCAUCUAUAAUCAGCAUGAAAUAUCUGUUCCUUGCAACAGACUCAUUUCUCAUGGGACCACAGAGAUCCACAUGUAUUAGCACUAGUACUUUGCUUGCUCUUUGAGCUUGAUCUUUUGGAAAAACAUUUCUGUGCUGUUUUCCAAAUUGGCACCCGUCACACACACCACUUUGUUCUUCCAAUUUUGGUAAACCAUGUACCAUUUCUUUAUCACUUAGCUGCUUCAAUCCUCCAAAAUGCAGAUGACCAAAUCUCUUGUGCCAAAUCCAUGUGGAUUGAAGAAAACUAGUCUUCAUUAGUAACUGUUUUUCAGCUAGAAAAGAGACAGGAUAGCAUCUGUUACUCUUCAUUUGCACCUUUAUGAUGAGAUAAUCCAUGGAUGGGCUAUCAAAUACCCUGCACAUCCCUUCUCCAAACACUAGACAGUACCCAUGUUCAUCCAUCUGCCCAACACUUAGCAGAUUUUCUUUCAAUCCUGGCAGAUACAUUACUUCUCUGAUGUAUUUCCUGCCCUUUGCUGUAUCAAUACUCAGUGAGCCAAUACCAGCUACACUCACUAAUGCACCAGUUGGCAUUUGUACUCUCCCAGCUACAUUAGUUCUCACAUCAACCAGCAAAUCUAAAUUUCCUGUCAUAUGAUUGCUGCAGCCACUGUCAAUGUACCAUUCAUUGGUUUUGAUCUCAGUGGUUGAGCAAUUGGCAUAAAACAGGUUUCCUGUAACCUCCAUUUGAUUUACACAAUUAGCCUUCUGCACAUUUUUGCUCACUGUACAGUCUCUAGCAAGAUGUCCAACUCUGUCACAGUUAUAGCAUUUUGGUUUUCCCUUAUACCUGCACUCACCAAAAUGAUGCUUUGAACACACCUUGCAUUGAGGCUUUGUGUUUUCCUGAUUUGAGAACUGUGUUGAAGUGUGGUUCUGUGCAGAAUAAUUAUUCUGCUGUGUCUUGUCUUUUGCCUCCCAUGACUUCCCUUUAGAGUUCCAGCUUCUCUGUGACUUAGAUGAACCAGACUGAGAAGCAUUUUUGUUCUGACCCUUUGAAUUCACAGUGAAUGAGGCAAAUGCCUUCUCAGCUGUAUCAACACUAUGCAUUUCAAGCCUUUGCUCCCGACUCUUCAAAAUGGCAGUUACUUCCUGCAAAUCCACAGUUUCUAGUGUCUUUGUGUUUUCAAUCACAAUGCAUAUAGGGUCAUACUUCUUACUUAGACUAAUUAACACCUUCUGAACCUACCUCUCAUUUGACAGAACUUCACCAAAUGUUUUCAUUUGGUUAAUCAAUUCAGUUAGUCUAGUAAGAUAUUCAGAUAAGGUUUCACUAUCACGCAUCCUACUGUAUUCAAACUCACGUCUAAGGUUUUGAAGCUUUACCGAUCUAACAUGCUCUCCACCAUGAUAUUCUGAGUACAGCAGAUUCCAAGCCAUCUUUGCAGAGUCAGCAUUGGCAAUUCUGGGAAAAAUCUGAUCAGAAACAGCAUUUUGAAUGAUACCCAAGGCCUUCGCAUCCUUCAUGAGAAUCGCAGCUGUUUUCUCAUCAACUUCUUCUUCUGAACCAUCCUCAGAUUCCUGCUUCGUCUUUGAAUCUGGGAUUAAAAACCCCUUCUCUACCAAACCCCAUAAACCAUAUGAUCUGAAUAUGGUUACCAUCUUAAUCCUCCAAAAUUCAUAGUUCUCACCUGAGAAAAUGGGGAUUCUAGCCUCUGAACUUCCAGAUCCAGCCAUUACGAAUUUCAGAUUCGCCUGGAAACAAGAUGUUUUCAGAUUUGACCCUUGAUCGAGCUCAAUCAGCUUCGUGAGCUUAGAAUGAGCUCACCUCGAUCGAUUUUCUUCACAGAACAACGCCCAGCUUCAGAUAAUCAAACUUGGCUCUGAGGCCAUGUUAGAGUUUUAGGAUCUGAGUGUUAGAUAUUGUGAGAAGAGAGAAGAGAAUUUAGUGAAAAUUUCCAAUACUGCUCUGCUAUACGUGUAGCAGAGAGAACAUUCUCUUUUGCUAUAUAUUUUCAGUACAACAACACACACUUGGUGUGAGAAGAAAAAUGACUGUUAUGCACAGUACCAGCUGGAUGCUUUCCAUCAAAGUAAUCUCAGCCAUUCACUAUCUAACCAAUCAAGCUAUGACACCUGGACUAAGUAUAAAGAAAUACAACUAAGCAGAAAACAAGACUCUUAAUCCUGAAAUCAACUUAAGCACUUAUAAUUCAACAUUGUUACCAUAAGAGCCAGCUCCGACUUUCUUUAAUUUCAGUCCUAACGGGGUUUCAUCUUCCACUCAUCUUUGCUCUUCUCAGUGUAAGCUCUGCAAUUUGAUUAACUUUCCCAUUAUCUCUCACUGUACUCUAUAUAAAGGAAUAAGUGUCGUCCACUAAUUAAUUACACUUUGUGAGAUUUGAUUUUAAUUAGAGUUCGAAUUGAUGUUGCAGCUAGCAGCGGUGGCACUGGCAAACCAUGCUGCUCAACCAGCACCUCAACUUUACUGGAACUCCGUCCUGCCAAACACACAAAUGCCAAGAGCUAUCAGUGAACUUCUGCAUCCUGGUUUGUGUUGAAUAAAUAUAGUAUGUUACUGGAGUACGUAUGGCAACAUAUUCACAAAUGUGUCACGUAUUUUCCAAUAUGACGUUGAUAUAUAAUUGCAGACUCCACAAACGAAGAAAAGAGCACAAAUGUCAUGAAUGCUGUUGGGAAUGGAAAGCCAAUUGACCACAAGGGCAACCUGAAAAUACUGUACUACCACAGCUUGCACGACGCCCAUUUUCUUACAAGAGUGAUGAUCGUCCCACUGACAAUCAACUCCAUUAUAAAAACGUAGCUAUUUUCUUCUUGGAGAAGGACAUGCGCCCUGGCACAACAAUGA
rnacentral:lncRNA from 1 species